UACAAUUUUAUUUUCAACUCUUGCUGCUCUUAGUGAGCCAUUAUGGCCAUUCUAUAUGGUGUUUUAUAUACGUUGCUACUAUGUGGAAUAAGUCAAUCGAGAACUCUAUUUGUCCAUUAGUGUGUCAUAGAAAUCAGUAAAAGCAUGAGCUUAUCAUAUAAAUGAUUGCACGGUCUCAUGAAAAGAAUGGAAAGGAGUCACAAGAAAAUUCUCCCCCGUACUAACAAGUCUUGAGAUUGGCUUUUUUUUCCUUUUUUUUUUUUAAAUCUACAUCUUGAUAACUUACAGCUUCGAUGACUUUUUGUUGGAAAAUAUGGGUGACAUGGGCAACCCGACCGGCAAGAUUUCAAAAAGGGUAGGAGGGAAUGAUUUGAAUUUGAAAUUCAUAACUACAACUACUCAUAACCUCAUUUUAACUCCCAUUAAACUUCCAUUGAUGAUGAAAUGAAAAAUAUGGACAAAAAAAGAUGGCCUGAAAAAGAGGUGAAAAUUCGUAUAGAAAUUGACAUCAAAAUUGAAAAGUCACUAGAACUAUAUAUUUUGCAUGAAAUCUCACAAAAAAUGGCACUUAAAUUGUGGAUAAUAGUCCCCUUCCAUUGUAAUCAGAAUUGGGACCAUUGGGGAAAAAGAAAAUGCAGAUUUUGGAGCUUUGGAAUACAAGGUGAUUCAACCAUACAAAAAGAUCUUGAAAUUCAUCAUUUGAAGUAAGUUUCUUGACCCAAAAUUCAUGUUAAAGUAUGCUGUGAAUUCUUAUACUGGUAUCAGAGCCAUAAGAUUGAAUUCCUUACUGUAAUUCAUGCUUAAAGAUGCCAUUACAUGAUACAAUUUGGGUUAUGAAUCUUGUAUGCAAAAUUUUGAAACCCUAUGUGGUAUUUAAUGGCAUCAUUUGAUAAUUUAUUGCCAUCAUUCGUUCAUUUUCAUGCAGUAAGAUUAGUAUGGUUAUCUCAAAAGCUUUCCAACCAUAUAAAGAACUCAAACUUUGGUCUUAAAAUGAAGAAUUAUGAUGUUUUGAAAUUUGGAUGAUAAUUUGAAUUUUAUGCAUGAAACUCGAUAAAAUACUAAUAUUCAUCACGUGAUAACAUUUUAUACGUGAAGUCUCAUGCUAUUAAUUUAUUGUGGUUGGAUAGAUUUUCUCGAGGCUUUUCCAACAAUAUGAAUAUCAUUCAUUUUGGGCUUAAAAUGAGAAAGUUAUGCCCUCCCGAAGUUUGGAUGAGAAUCUAUUUUUGCAUAAAAAUUUGUAAUAUCAGAAAUUUCAUCACAUGAUAACUUCUUCUGUAAUGUGUUUCAUGAUGCCCAUUUGGUAUUGUUGGAUAGAUAUUCUCGAGACCUUUCCAAUGAUAUAAAGAACAUAAAUUUUAGCAUUGGAAUGAAGUUAUGGCUUCCCAAAGAAUUGAUAAAAAUCUAGAAAUUUUGUUCCUUUUUUUUAAGGGCUUGCUUGGUAAUGAUUUUGAGAAUUGAUUUUUUGACUGUUGAGAGAAAACUGGGUCUUCCUAUUUGUGAGAGAAGAAGUCAAAAAUGACAGUUGACUUAGUAAAACAACGGUCAAAAAAUUGAUUUUUUGGGGAGAAAAAGCACUACCAACACAUGCUCUAAGGACGAACAAUACUUUUUUCUCAUUUUUUGGUCUCGAUUGGAUCUGUUUGGAUUCAGAACACAGUCUUAAAGUUGAUAUUGUAAAAUUUAACCACAUAAAUAAACUCAGAAAGUCAAAAUUGAUUAAAGGGACGAAUCAAUGAAAAUUUUUCCAUUGAAUAAGUGCUGCGAAUGGCGUGUAGUGGGUGUUCAGCGCCCCCACCUUUAAAAAAAGGUUAAAAAGUUGAAAAGUCAAAUAAAAUUGUCGUUUGACUUUUCAAAUAGAAUUUAGAAAUUUGCAAAUUAGUCCCUUGAAUAUUCUUGAUUUUUCUCUUAUGUGCAAUUAAAAUUAAUUUUCAGAUAAUAAAAAUAUUUUUUGGACUGGAUUAAAUUAUGAAAUUUUUUAUAAAGAUCAAGAAAAUUUGUUAAGUGGUAUUUGCCUAGUGGGAGAUUUAUUUAUUUAUUUAUCUAUUUAUUUUGAAGUGUUUCAUUUUUAAAUGAAAAAAAAUACUUUGAAGAUAUUUAAAAUACCAUAUUUUAUAUACGUUCAUGAGUUGUGUGGGUCUUGAUUAGGUUAUGUGAUCUAUUGUGACUUAUUUCCUAUUUUUUUUAUUUAUUUUUAUCAUAUUUGGCUAAAUCUACACACAUUUAUAGUAUCCUUAGAACGAAUGCUAAAAUCAAAGGCUAUGGAACUUGAUGAAAAGUUCCAUGCUUAUCAAUAUAAAUAAAUGGAUUUGGAACAUGACCUAAUGUGGAACAUGUGAAUAUUUUGGGGCAUAAAUUUUUUAUGACAGGUAGAAUAUACGAAUUCUAAUAUCAAUUCCUAUUUGUUAUAACUUUGUUGCAAUAGAGAUUUAAAUGAGAUUGAAAAUUUGUAAAAUAAAACUUAAAUGAUGUUAGUUUAAUUUUUGAAUUAUAAUUGAAGUUAUCAUCUGGAAGAAUUAAUUUGUUAUAUCAUGAUACAUGUUAUAAUUGGAUAAAUGUACAUAUUUAUGCUUCUAUUGCAUAUUAUGAAGUUAUCUAAUUGAAUACAUGAUAUCCAUUAAUUCAUGUAUUGUUAUAAAUGCUAGGGUUAGUAGAAUUAGUGAGAUUCUUUCUUAGGCCUAUUGAUUGCCAGUUGAGUGAUAGUUUGGUAAUUGGAAGAUUUAGAGAAAAUCUCACAUAGAACUAUUUGAUUCACCAACUGAGUGGGAUUUCUCAACUUGAAAGAAUUAAUGUGAUUCUCACUUAGAAUUCAUGGAAUUUUGCAUUAUGAAAUUAAGUUUAUUAUCGUGAAAUAAUAGGAUGCGGACGAUGAUUAGGAACAUAAUGAACUUUCGACUCUGUGCGUAACUUUGAACUAUCAUAGACGUUAAUUUACAUUAAUGCAAAAUUAAAUAUGUGCAUAAAUGGGCAAUGGUUGAGAAUAAAAUGUCUCAAAAAAUGUGAUAGAUCAUGGUAUCAAAGUCUGUAAUAGUUGACCUUAAUAAAAGUGAUAAGCUAAAUACGAUAACAUUUGUCAUGAUAAGAUUUUGAGUGUACUGGAAUGAUAUGAUGGUUUAGAGAGCAUUAACCACGCAAUAAGAAACCUUAUGUAGGUCAUACUACUCUAGAAAAUAAUGAUCAGAACUUUGUUAAGCACGGGAAAAAGAUAUAUUCUAGUACUUGAACAUUUGAAUUGUUAAGUUUUGAUAAAAAUGACUUUUUUCUCAAGUAUAAUUUAGUUGAUGGUUAACAUAGCCCUUGUUUGAGUCCCAUUCUUUUGGAAAAAUUCUUUUUUCAAUAGUAUUUUGACAUCAUUUCAAACACACAUUCUUCAAUAAAAUAAUAUUACACACAAAUCCAAAAUUUUUCCUUAUUUUUUAAUCACACAUUUCCCAUCAAUACACUAUUCAAAAAUUCAUUCUUUCCUAAAAACUGGAGCUCAAACAAGGGCAUAGAGUUAACACUUUUGUUGGUCACAUUAUUUUUAGAUGAGUAGUAAGUUCAAACUAGUCUAUUCUUAACUUUGAAGGUCAUUAUGACUUACAAAUUGAAGUGUCAAUUUUCUAUAUUGACACUAUCCGUUGUGGGAGUUAUAAGACGUGCGACUUGAUGUUACUAAGUCUCGAGUAUAUGCUUGUGUAGCAAUGUUCUAGCUUGCUUAAUAUUCAAGUCGUCGUAAAGUCUCGAGGACAUACUUGUGUAGCAAUGUUCUAGCUUGCAUAAGAUUUUGAAUCUUAAGCAUUAAAUGAGCUAGAACAAAUAUGGGAUAGAUAAGGACACUGAAAAAAGGGACCAAGAAAAACAUAUUUGAUAGUAAAUGAAUGAAAGUGAUUUUGGUAGAGGAUCAAAGUUAUAAAUGUUCAAGUGCUUCAACUAUAUGAUUUUAAUCUCUUAGCUUGAAAGUGGUUAAGCUAAAGGAUCUUGCACUUGAAUAUAUUUCUCUCAGUGUUGUUUAUGUGUUAACACUACACAUAUUGAUCUUAUCUUGUGUGGAUAGUGGAUUCAAGGGUUAGAAACCCACUUUAUAUGAGAACAAAAAGGUAUAUUAUUCUACUGUGGAGUCUUUGACUUGAUGCAAAGUAUAUAUAUACAAAUAAUGAAGAUGGGGUGGAUGUUUAUAUGACUGAUAUUGCAACUUAGUGUUGAAAAUUGGAGAAACUGAUCUCCUAUUUGAUAUUAAGUUGGUAUAAAAAACUCCACAAAAUUUGAUCUCAAUUAUUAUUCUUCGAAGAAUGGUCUCUUACUUGAACUUGUAUGUUGUAGAUUGCUCGUAAUCACAGUGGCGAUACUUAUUAUGGUUCUGAAUAUUUGUACAGUGGAUUGAGGUUUUGAGUUGAGAAAACCAUUCAAAAUUGUAAGAGAUAAAUUCUAUAGAAUAAAUCGAUCCAAAUUUCUUUGUGGGCUGUGAUUAAAAGAGAUAGGAUGGAACUUUACUUUUCAUUACAUUUAUAGAUGGACUCACGCAUUUCAGAUUUGCCUCUGCUUUUCUUAAAUCAAAGAUAUUGUAUUGGUUUAGACUUUUCUAAAGUCGAGUAGAAAAUCAGAUUGGGGAAGUGAAGACUUUGAGAAUUAUCUGAUGGCGUGAAUUUUUAUCACGAGAUAUCAAUGAUCUAUGUAAUGAAAGAGUUUCUUAUUUGAUAGACUAUUCUUUAAUCAACAAUAAUUAUUUGAUGUAUUUGAUUGAAUGAAUGAAAUAUUGCUGAAUAUGAUGAGGUUAGAAAUAUAUAGUCCAACUUACGUAUUUGCUUUUGGAAAGAACAUUGGCUAACUAAAAUGUAUCAGUUAAUGGAGUUCUGUCAAUGUUGGUACCUUCAAUAUAUAUAAGUUUUGGACACGUAGACAACCAAAUAUGGGUUAUCAUAGAUUUAUAAUGGAUUAUACAUGUUCUCGAUAAUGAGUUCGGGAACAUGAGUCUAUUAAGAAUGAGAUGUGCCUCGAUAACAUACAUGGAGUCCAAAAAAAGGUAUUUAAGUGAAAUUUUUUAUGGAUAUCGAGUCACAAAAUGUGACAUUUGAUAUUUUUGUAGUAAGGGAGAAAAGAUUGAAGAACUUCGUUGAAAUAGUUAUUAUAAGUAUUGAUGAAUCAGUUUUGAAUAUAUAAGAGUCAAUUCAAACUUCUAAUUCAAGUGGGAUUAAUUUGUUUCCAAGUUGGACUUAUCUAUUUGAAUAGGAGCCAUCUAAGAACUAUUUCUAUGACUCUUGGUUUCGAGUGGGAGUUAAGAUCUAUUUAAUAUCAAUGAUUCUUAGUUACGAGUGGGAGCUAAGAUCUAUUGAAUGUAAAUGAUUGCUGGUUCAGAAAAGCAAUGGAGAAUUUUGAGAAAAGUGAUGAAAGUAUAUAUGUGGAGUACAGAAUUUCAACCUAAUCUGGGAUAUGGUUGAAGUUCUGGACAUUAUGUAUUUUGAGAACAUUCAGGUUCUUGAAAACUAAGUGGAAGACUAAUGAGUUUCUGAUAAAUAACGCUCCUCUCUUUGAAAAAGGGGUAUACUCAAUAUGAGUCUAUUGAUUUAGAUAGAAAUUUUUCAUGACAAUGGGAUUCGCUUAUGUACAUCUAUACUAGUGGUGAUAGUAUGUUUAAAUUUAGAGUUAUGCCAAACAGACCCAAAGACUGUAUUUUUAUUCUCAAGUGAGAAAUGAUUAAAGAUGUGAGAAAUGAUUAAAGAGAUCAACAUGAAUCAUCUUGUAAGUUUUAUAUUAAAGGCUUUUUUUAGUAUUUGGUAACUUUAUAGUUACAUGCAUGGUCUAAUACUGUCACCUUGAUAGUCAUACUUGAGUUUUUAACAUGGUUAAAUCUCGUACUAGAAUUUCGUCAUAUGGACAAAAAUUACUGAAUUUGUGUAAAGGUCUGAUGGUAAGUUGUAAUUCUAAUUUUGAUAUUACAUUGGAUUGGUUAACAAUGAAAAAGAGUGUAUAGAGACCAUUUUGAAAUGGUCGUCAAAGAUCUUUGAGACAAAGGAAGUGGGUUUAGCAAAUUGUAUGAUUUGUGUUAAAAAGAUUAUUCGAGUCUUCUAGCUUUAUCACAAGAGUUUUAUAGUAUAAAAGCUCACGUGGAAUUGCUACUUUAUUGAUACUCGUAUAUCGGAAAGUGACCAUAUAAGUCUUCAUAAAUGUCCAAAGACUCCAUAAAUGCACAAAGAAAUAUCCGGAGAACCAUAUCUAGUACAAUUGAAAGUUAGGAGAUAGAAGUAUUCUAUGAUUUAUACUUGCCAUAACGUUGGUCAUGCCAUGAAUCUAGUCAGUAGGUAUCAAUAUUAUCUUUAGAAAAUGUAUUGUGAUACCUGAAGGGUGCUUUUGUCAGUUAUCCUAUUUCAUUGCCAAAGGAGUAACUUGUUAUUGGAGUAGAUAUACAAUUGUCGACUACGAAUGAGAGUAAGUCGAGCACAAUUAGUUACUAGACUUGUGCACUCUUGCUAUAUAGUUUAGCAAGAAGCAUAUAUUAUAAUGUAUAGCUUGGUAGCUAAAGAAAUUAUUUGUUAUAGAUGUAUUGAGCAUCUAAUGAUACUAGUUGAGAAUAUGAUAUCCAUGAUAGUUGUACAACUAUUUUUUAUGUUCAAAUCUCAAGUAUCAAGAUGGAACUAAACACUUUAUGGUAUAUCUGUGAGAGUCAUUAGCAAAGAAAGUGUCUUUGCAAUAUAUCUACGUAAAUGAUGAUAUGUAAUCUGAAAAUGUCUAGAGAUAUAUUUGUUGGCAAUAUCGAAUUUCUAGAAUUUCGAAGAAUAUGAUACCUAGUGUAUCAGAAAACUCUUGAUUGAGUUAUGUGUGCCCAUAAAUGAACAGUUUUGAGUUCGUACGUAAUCUAAUGUUAAGAUUACAAGAUGAAUGAUUUGUACGUACAUAUAAAGUACGUCAAACGGGGUUGAGAUUGGCUCACUCACAUGAGCAAUCGCCUCGGACACUUUGAGAUGUGGUAAGAUGAGACGCGGUGAUUAUGUUGUGUACAUGAUCUAGUCAAUUUGAUAAGAUAUUAAAAUGAGAUUACACUAAGUAAUCGAAAUGAAUUUUGCUAUCCAUUAAACCUCUUUAGUAGCCUGAUCGAGUUCUUGAUUUGAGAUUGCCUUGUGGAAUGAACAUAAGGAGAACUCAAGUUAGGUAUCGAAAAAUACCUAAACUAGGAUUUGUACGGUGUUAUUUGUUUACAAAGAAUAUGAUAUAUGCCCUAAGAAAGGGAGAAAACUUCAUAGCAAGUGUUUCAUACCACGUGAGCUUGUACGACCAGUAUUAGGUAAAUGAGUGAAUGGAUCCAUGCUUGCUCAUUAUGUGAGAUCCUGAAGUUUAUAUAACCUCAUAUAUACAAUUAUGACUUUUGACUGUUUCUUGAAAUUUUAUUUUAGUGUUGCUAAUUAAUAUGUUGUCAAUAACUAUGAUUGUUUCGGUUUGAUGGGGCAUGUCUAGAAAAUAAGCUGAUUUAAAAUUGAAGGAUUCAAGUAGGAAAGGAAAAUUGUUUUGACCAACUUUUAUAUUUGUAUUCACCGGCCGGACAAUUGUGUUGAACUAUUUAGGGUAUAGAGCACAAUUGUAAAAACAAUGAUGCGAUGUAGGGUUCAAGUAUGUUCCAUAUAAUAUUCGAGGGAUUGGAAAUACUUGAAUUAAUGUUGAAAAAUGAGUUUGGGGUAUAACGAGAUAUGAUGUUCCUCUUAUAGAGCUACUAUAUAUCUCUAACAAGUUUAUAAUACCGUGAGCUCUAAUAUUACUCACUGGUCGCACGAUCUAUUUGCUGUAUAAAUCUUUGUGAUAUAGAUCUUGAGAAGGAUCUGAGAUGUGGCAUUCAUUGUCAAUUGUGGUUUGGAUCAACCUCAUCAUGUGCGAGUGAGAGAUGUUGGAAAAUACCGAUUUCAAAAAGGGUAUUAGGGAAUGAUUUGAAUUUCGAAUUCAAAUCUACAAUUUCUCAUAACCUCCUUUUAACUCCCAUAUAACUUCCAUUGAUGAUGAUAUGAAAAAUGUGGACAAAAAAGAUGUGAAAAAUCAUAUGGAAAUUGACACCAAAAUUGAAAAGUCUUUAGAACCAUAUUUUUGGCAUGAAAUCUCACAAAAAUGACACUUAGAUUGUGGAUAAUAAACCCCUUCCAUUGUGAUUAGCAUUGUGACCAUUGGAGAACAAGAAAAUGCAGAUUUUGGAGCUUUGGAAUGUAAGGUGAUUCAACCACACAAAAAGAUCUUGGAAUUCAUCAUUUCAAGUUUCUUGACCCGAAAUUUAUAUUAAACUAUGCUGCGAAUUCCUACACUUUUAAAUGAUUUAUGGGCUGACUUUUAACUGAUUUAUAGGCAUUAAAUCCGGUCUCCUUCACUUCCCUCUAUUCAUGCAUUUUGUAAGUGAACCCACAAUAUUAGCUCUUAAAUUUACAUAAUCAAUCUAGAUGAUUCUAUAUGAUAAGAUUAAGCCCUAGUUUGGGAUCAUUUUUUAUGAAGUUUUGGGAAAAAUAUAUUUUGGAAUAGUAUUUUUUUGGAAAAUGUGUGGUUAAAAAAGGAGGAAAAAUUUUGGAAUUAUGUGUAGUAUUAUUUUAUCGAAGAGUGCGUUGUUAAAAAAGAAGAAAAGAAUGUAUUAAAACUAAAAUGAAGCCCAAACAAAAGCUUAGUAUCAACAAUAUUAUGUCUACAAUAUGUAUUUAUGUUUUGAAACGGAGUCAUAAUAGAUCAAGAAAAGUCGAAAGAAAAAAAAAAAAGCCCCAAUGUGUGGGGACGUGGCCUGUUGCGAUUUGCAAACCACGGCCCAGAUCACCCAAACAUGGAUACCCGGCAAACCACAAUUCAGCCACGGUUGCGGUUGAACUACGAUCCCACAACUAUUAAUUUCGCUUUAUUUGGUUCCAAAAUGCAGUUUUCCGUGUGGGUUUGGUCCUUUUCUAAUUUUAUGUCCAAUUUUGGUCUUUUUAUCCCAAAUUUCAAUUUGAUACGAAACUUUAAAAAUAUUCCAGUGGUCCCAAAACUACAUAAUAGUAUGAAAUAGCUACUCAACAGUUUCAAAAGUGUGUAAUUUAGUCCCAAAACUUUUCAAAAGUUAAAUUUCACUCCCAAGACUUACGAUUUUGUUUUGAUUGCUCUGUUAAUACUUACUCCCAUCCAAAUCGGUUACUCUUUAAUUUCUAUGAACCAUCUAUAAAUUAACUCAAAAUCAUCCAUCUUCACACCAAUUGUAUCAAAGUUCGAAUUCUACGUACAAUUAACAAAUUUACAUUAAAUUAAGUAGAAAUUUACACAAAUAUGUCCAAGUCUAAUAACAUAAAAUAAAUACGUAAAAAUACACUUAUUAGUCAAUUGUUGAAAAACGUCGAGGCCCUAUUAAUAUAUAUUUGCCAACAGUAAAGUCCUGCAGAAAUUAUGACUAAUCUUAAAUCAGAUCCCUCUUUAACGGCUUGAAGACGUUUGGCAUAUUCUAGGGUUUCCCUCAGUACACUUGUCAAACUAAGUGAACACUAUGAAGCUACCAGAACCUAUACUUUUGGAUCGCAGCAUGACUAGGGAAAUUUCUAUUCAUCCAGAAAUCCCUGCUGACUCAAUAUAUCUCAUCUCUUUAAUUUGUCCCUUUCUAUAUAUAUAUAUUAUAUGCUGUUUUCAUCUAUGCAUAUAUUGGUAAGAAAGAAAAUGUACAACGCAGUUCGAUCAAUUAGGAUACUACCACCAACGGCAUCUAUUUUCUCUUCAAAGUUGCCAAAUAACAUCAGCAGGAGAAUUUGCGGAGUCAGAUUUGCACAAGCCAUGUCAGGGCCUAAUCAACCUCAGAGCACUAAGAAAAUAGAUCAGUCUCAGGAAUCAAAAAAUCAAAGAGGGUUGGUUUUCAAAUCUUGUUUUCUUUUUGUUUUCGUGUCAUGAAAUGAUGGGCUUUUGUUAAUCUUGGUGUUAUAGAUAGAUAGAUAGAUAUUUCACGUUCGAGGACGAAAAAAUUAGCUAGGGUUGUGGAGGAAUUUUUUAAGAUAAAAAGUUUUAAUCCUUCCAAUUGAAAUUUCUUGUAGUGUGUAUAAAUAUGUACCAGUUAUUGAGUUUAACAUGGUUUCGGAAUUUGGGAAACGAUUGCUUCAUUUGGUGAAGGAUAUGCAACGAGGUCUUAUGAAGAAGGAUUUGGAGGAAUCUAUGGAGGGAACCAGUCUAUUUCCAAGGAGGACGAGGAGAAAAUUGUUCAUGGAAAUGCCCCGGGUACAUUCUCUUUCUUUCUUCAAUCACCGACCUCCACGCCUCUAAACAUGCCUUAUCAGAUCCAUAGUGCCCGGCUAAAAUCUAAGUUCUAAAUAAUUAAUUUUAACUACAUUUUAUGUCCAACCGCAUGUUGGAAUAUACUAAAUAUCUUAUUUAAAUUCCUGGGCUAUACUUAUAAAUCGGUUUGACACUUCAAAAAAGUUGCCUAAAUUUUUUUAAUUUGAAAUUGAGAAAACUUUAGGAAAAAAAAUUUAAUCAUUAUAUUUGGAAAAAACUUUAGCCACUAUAAUUGCAACACAAGCCCAUCCAUAUUUUUGCCAUCACUGGUUUUUGUUCUCGUUUCGUUUUUACUUGUUUUUCACAUGGUUAGCCAUUUCCAUCACUUCCAAAAUUACUCAUCAUUGUUAAUUUGAACAACAUUCAACAACUAUUUAACAAAACCUACCAAACAAGCCUUGCUCGAUUAAUCCCAUUAAAAGCGAUUUUGUGGCAUUGUUUAAAAAGAAAAAAAAAAAUGCGGCCGUGGCUUGUGGUUUAUUAUUGAAGAUGAAAGAUCAUUUGGUGAAAUAUAAAACCAAUUUGAGAUUGAGUGGGUUCGUUAGGUGUUGCUGUUUACAUAGAAAAGAUGCAAAUUAAGGUUAAUUAGGGGGUAAAAGUAAUUUAUUUUGUAUAAAUGGUUUCUUAUAAGAAAUAUAGUUAUUAAAAUCAGUCUAGCUCAAUCGGGUAGAUCAAAAAAUCAUUAAAUCAAGUGCAGUGACAACCCAAUUUUCAUAUUUUGAUGGGGGAAAUUAGGUCAACUAUCCUUAAAAAGUAAAACUUUAGAUUAAUACUGUUAAAAUUGAUUAGAACUAUAAGUUCCUGAAAUUAUUACGUCCAAAUUGAUUUUAUCACUUUCUGAAAAUUUGCCACUUUUUGAGCUUUUUUUAGUUUUUGUAACUUUUUUGAAUAAUCACCUUUUUUUAAUCUCUUAUCGCCUUCUGAAAAUUUUAUCACUUGGAGUUGCAGCGGGAGACCAUCUUCCAGACUCGAUGCCAUGUCAACAAUAAGGUAUUUAGUGUAAUUAUUGAUGGUGGUAGUUGCACAAACGUUGCUAGCGUAGCACUUGUAAAGAAGUUAAAUUUAACAUUGUUGAAACAUCCUAGGCCAUAUAAAUUGCAAUGGUUAAAUAAAAGUGGAGAAGAUAGUGUUAAUCAAUCUUUCAAUUGGUAGUUAACGGGACGAAGUAACGUGUGAUGUGGUACCAAUGCAAGUGGGGCAUAUUUUAUUGAGGAGACCAUGGCAAUAUGAUAGGAAGGCUAUGCAUGAUGAGUACAAAAAUCGCUAUAGUUUCAUCAAGGAUGGGAGGUAUAUUACUUUUGUGCCAUUAACACCGGGGCAAGUCCAUGAGGAUCAAAUUAAAUUUAGGAAUGAGGAAGAGAGGAGAGUAAGUGAGUUAGAAAAAAAGAGAGACAUGUAUUACGGAGAGAAAUAGAGAGAAGAUAGUGAAAAUGAAAAUAAUGAGAUUGUGAGCAAGAGAGGAAAUUGUGAGGUGGCCAUUAGAGAAAAAAGAAAGAGGAGCCACAAGAGAUGAAAGAAAGAGAGUUUUCCAAGAGAAAGGAAAAAUCACGAGUGAAUUUCUUUUUAAAAGGGAGUGCGUUGAGGAGGGCAAUAAUUAAGAGGAGAGAGAUGUUUUUAUUGUUGUACAAGAAAACACUCCUCAAUUUUGAGACUACUAACAUCCCCUCCCUAGUUUGGCUAAAACUGUACUGCAGGAAUUCCAAGAUGUAUUCUCGGAGGAUGUACCGAGUGGAUUACCACCCAUUCGAGGAGUUGAACAUCAAAUUGACUUUAUACCUAAAGUUGUCAUCCCGAACCAAUCAACUUAUCGGAGCAAUCCUGAGGAGACAAAGAAGCUUCAUAGGCAAGUAGAGGAGUUGAUAAGCAAAUGUUAUGUAAGGGAAAGCAUGAGACCAUGUCCCAUUCCAGUGUUACUAGUGCCAAAGAAUGAUGGGACAUGGCGAAUGUGCGUUGAUUGCAAAGCAAUCAACAAUAUAACGGUAAAGUAUCAUCACCCAAUUCCUAGGUUAGAUGAUAUGUUAGAUGAAUUGCAUAUUGCUUGUAUUUUUAGUAAAAUUGACCUUAAAAGUGGGUACCAUCAAAUAUGCAUGAGGAACGGUGAUGAGUAGAAAAAGACAUUUAAAACUAAACAUGAUUUAUAUGAAUGGUUAGUUAUGCCUUUUGGACUCACAAACACACCGAGCACUUUUAUGCGCUUAAUGAACCAUGUUUUACGUGCUUUCAAUUUACUGAAGUAGUACGUUUGUAUAGGAUUCCUUAGAGUAUAGUGUCGAUUAGAGACGUGAAACUUUUAAAUCACUUUUGGCGAGUAUUGUGGGAUAAGUUAGGCACGAAAUUGUUAUUUUCCACAAUUUAUCACCCUCAAACCGAUGGACAAACCGAAGUCGUUAGUAAGACUAUGAUUCAAUUGCUGCAUACGGUAAUGAACAAGAACUUGAAAAGUUGGGAAGACUGUUUACCUUUCAUUGAAUUUGCAUACAAUUGAGCUACUCAUUCUACUACUUCAUUUACUCCUUUUGAAAUUGUUUAUGGUUUUAAUUCACUAACACCGUUAGAUUUAAUUCCAUUACAUGUGAAUGAACGUGGUAGUUUAGAUGGCAAAAGAAAGCUGAAUUGGUGAAAUCGCUUCAUGAGAAGGUAAAGUUGCAGAUCGAAAAAAAAAGCAAGCUUGUUGAGUUGCAGGCAAAAUAGACAGAAAACAUGUGAAAUUCGAACCAGUAGAUUGGGUUUGGGAACAUUUCAGGAAAGAGCAUUUUUCGGAGCAAAGUAAUUCGAAAUUGCAGUCGCGAGGAGAUGGUCCAUUUUAAGUCAUCGAGAAGAUCAACGAAAACGCUUACAUAAUAGAUCUUCUAGGUGAGUAUAAUGUUUCAACAACUUUUAAUGUAUCUGAUCUCUCUCUUUCUUUGAUGUAGGUUUAGAUUUGAGGAUGAAUCUUUUUGAAGAGAAAGGGGAUGAUGUAAUCCAAGAGUUGAGUCCAACGAAGGCGAGUUUGGAACAAGACCCGUUAAUAAUUGAAGGGAGAUCGAUGAAGUCAUCGAGGGCAAAGCGAGUGAAACAAGCGAUGGGAUAACUUGUUCAAUCAACCAUUCAUGGGACGAUGGUCGAAACGCAAAAUGAGGCAACUUUCAUGUUUGGGUCGAGAGUGGAAUCAAAAUAGAUCAACUCAAUACAAGCGGACGAAGACUGAGGCAAAACCGACAACUAUGUGGUCGCAUAGUGCAAUGGACUAUGCGGUUGCAUACAUCGGUGUAGAGAUUUCGCGGUAGCAUUUUACUUGAACUAUGCUACCCCAUUUAAAUACACUAUGUGGUUGCAUAGAUCAAAUAUUUGGCAAAAACAUUCCUUUUCGCGAUUUUUCAUAUUUUGCUAGAUUUUAUUUUAUUCCAUAUCUUUGUAAUUUUGGACGAAUAAUGCACGGUUUUACUAGAUUUUUUUUAAGGUUUUAUAGCUGGUAUAAAUAAAGAAAUUCUCUCUCAUUGUAUUCUUACAUUAGAAGACAUUAUUAUUAUUCGAUAAAAUUCCGAGAGUUUUUGAGAGGCUAUUGUGCUUUUCUUCGUCUUAAUUAACAACUUGAACUUAUCAAGAAUUUACAAUUCUUGUGGCAUUCAACCAAUCGAGUACAAAUCUCUUAACGUGUAAUCAAGGGAUCCUUCAAGCACCGAUCUUAAUGGGUUUUUUGGUUCACUUAUUUCUAUGGUUCAACUCUAAACCUUUAAUUAGGUUUUUCUGAGUUCCAUAACAAGCUCGUUGUGGGUUUCAUAGUCAAUGCUGCUACAUGGUUCACAACACAAUGGGUCGUCACCAUCGAGGCUAUCCCCUACGUCUCGCCGAUGGACACCCUCCAGCAUUGGGACCUUUCCAUCCAUAGUUGCAAAAAUGAUUCAAGUAUAACAUUCGAUGGCUUUGAUGAAUCAUCAUACCCUAUAAGAUUAUCUCUUCCAGUGCCUCUGUCAACCCCUCUGUCUUAAGCAUCGCCAGUCUCUCUGGUACUCACAUCGCCUGUCUCUCUGCAUCCCCUCGUCGGCCUACUACAUUACCUUGUAGUGCUAUGACCUCAUUACUAAGGCCUCCCAAAUCAGCUCAUAAUGUUCUAAUGUCAUUUCAUAACUGAAUGAAAGUGGGAGAAUAACGCAAUGGAUUUUGUGGUAGGAUUUCUAAGGUCAGCAAGAGGACACAAUGCUAUAUGGGUAAUAGCGAAUCGUCUAACAAAGUCAGCUCAUUUUCUUCUGGCAAAAAUGACAUUCAGUCUAGAUUAGCUAGCGUAGUUGUAAAUUAGAGAGACUGUAAGAUUGCAUGGUGUCCCCGUAUCUAUUGUGUCUGAUAGAGAUUCGAGAUUUAUGUCAAAGUUUCGGAAGAGCUUACAAGGAGCUAUAGGAACGAAAUUGCAUUUUUGUACGGCAUAUCACCAUCAAUCUGAUGGUCAGUCUGAAAGGACCAUUCAAACUUUGAAAGGUAUGCUAAGGGCCUGUGUUCUAGAUCUAGAAAGCAGUUGGGAAUCGUAUCCACCUUCGGUGGAAUUACAUAUAAUAAUAGUUUUCAGGCAAUUAUUGGAAUGGCACCGUAUGAAGCUCUAUAUGGUAGAAGAUGCAAAUCACUUGGUCAUUAGGACAAAAUCAGAGAAAAGAGAAUUUUGGGACCAGAUAACAUUGAAAAGACAGUGAAAACCAUUGAUAAGAUCGGUACCAGGAUAAAGGUAGCACAACAUAGACAAAAGAACUAUGCAGAUACCAGAAGAAAAGACUUCGAAUUUGAGAUUGGAGAGAAAGUUUUUUUAGAAGUAGCACCAAUAAAGGGUGUACUUAGGUUCAGCAAGAAAGUCAAACUACGACCUUGUUAUAUCGGACCUUUUGAAGUACUUGAUAGGGUCAAAAAUAUGGCUUUUUGAUUAGCUUUGCCGCCUGAACUAUCAGCAGUUCACAACGUGUUUCAUCUAUCAAUGAUUAGGAAGUAUAUGCAUGAUCCUGAUCACGUGAUCAGUUAUAAAUCCCUAGAAGUAUAGAAAGAUUUAUCUUAUGAGGAAUUAUUGAUUAAAGUACUGGAUCAAAAGGUAUAUAAAUUACAGAACAAGGAGAUUCAACUGAUUAAAGUUAAAUGGAAUAAUCAUGGAGUAGAAGAAGCUAUUUGGAAAAGAGAAGAAGAAGUUAAAGACAAAUAUCAGACACUCUUUGCCAAACCAUAUGGUAAAUUUCGAGGAUGGAAUUUUGUUUAAGGUGCAAGGGUUGUAGAAGCCCCAAAAAAAAUGAAAUUAGGCUCAUAUUUUUAGGUGAUGAUCUAGUACCAUGAGUCUAGCCCAUAGACAAACCUUAUGCUCGGCCCACAUAAGCAAUGAAAGCCCAAUACUAGUCCAAUGUGUCUUAAAUAAAUUUAUUUACAAUUUUAUGGUGGUUCAACAUGCAACACAAGUCUGACCACCAUACAUAUUUUUAAAAAAAUAUAUUUGAAAAAGUUAUGAUGGAUUCAAUGUCUCCCGCGGUUUGUACCCGACAAUUAAAAUUUAUAUUUUGUAUAGUAAAAUUUCCAAGACAUUUAACAACAAAUUUAAAUUCAUGAAAUGAAACGGCAAACUAUCUUCAAUUCUUUUAAUUGGUUAAUGAUAUUUAAGACAGGAAACAGGUAUAUAAAAGAAAGAAAUUAAACCUAAACAAUUCUUCAAUCAUUUUCUUAAAUGUUCAAUGAAGUGCUGCCCUUUCUAGGCUUUUCUCCAUUUCCUUCAAGUUAAUUAUAUUCUUGGAAUGAAACAUACCAUUUAAAUUCUAAACACUCACAUACGUAUCACAGGUUUCAAUGUACCAAAAUAAUGUUGAAAUGAAACUUACAAUUCACCAAAUAAACUAUUGUAAAUUGUCUUUAGUUGGGAGGCAUGAAUGCUUCCGUUUCUAUUCAUUUUCAAAUUUAAGGCAGGGAAUUUAACCUAAACUCUUUAAAAUGCUUUUAAAUUUCUUCAAUUUAUUUGCUGCCCAUGUUUUUCUAGCAUUUAGGAUUUAUUUUUCAUUCCUUCAAGUUAUUCAUAAUAAACUUUGUACAAGAAAAGGUUUCAAAAGUCAAGAAAGAAAAAUAUAAGAGAGGAGCAAAUUUCUUAAGCUUCGGGUGCCAUCGAGAAACAACUUCCACCGACCAAUUCGUUUCAAUAAGGUAAGUAGAGGUGCAAGUGUUUAUUUCCUUUUCAAAUUAUGAUUUUUCGAUAAAUGUUUGAAUUAAUUGGUACCUUACAACAGUUUGAAUGAUCUUUCUCUAGCUCUACAUGUUAUGAUAAUGCUACAGUAAUUGGAAUUUGCUGAAAAACCAUUUACGUGCAAUGAUAUGAAUCUAUAAUUCGAAAUUACUAAUUCGAUAACGAAAUGCACCGAUGAUAUCUAUUGAGUUUCAAACUCAUGGGUUAAUUCUCUUCUUACAGGUUAAAUGGAUUUUCUUAAGGCAUGGAUGAUGGUAGAGGAUGAUACAACAUGCUAUGGGGGAAGUCAGUGAUUUGAAAAUUUUAAUUCGAUCAUGAAAUGUUUACAUUUGUUUUUUUUAAUAUGAAUUUCUAUGGAUGUCAUAUGUGGAACUAUUCUAAGAAUAUUUCUUCAUUAAUAAGUAAUGUUUAAAAGUAUAUAUGUGUUAUAGAAGUUAAUUUACAAAUCACCGUUUACAAAAAGAAAAAAAAAAGUGUUAGCAAAUUAGAGUAUUGUUGUCUCUUUAAAAAUUUCAGUUUCUGUCUUGACUUUGAAAAAUUCAUAGCUAACUCGUUACUUGAAAUUUUUAGACAAAGCCAAUGACCCUGGAUAGCCACAUAGGUUAGCUAUUGAAUGAAUUUGGAGUCAUGUCAAUCCGACGUCGGUAGAAUUUUAUAUGUCACUUUAAGUAAACUGCACAUGGGUAGUGUUACUGUUUUUCAGCUUCUGCCCUUGGUUUCAAAAAUUCAUAACUCACUUGUUACUUGAAUUUUUUGGACAAAACCAAUUGGGAUUGAUAGCAUCAGGCGUUAGCUACUGAAUAAAGUUGAAAUUAUGUCGAUUUGAUGUGUGUAGAAUUUUAUAUGGCACUUUUAAGUAAGCUUCGCUGGGUUACUCCAACCCGAAUCGCUGCGGGGUUUUGAAAAAUAUUUUAAUACCCUUAUAUGCUGCCGACGGAAGAUGAUUUUCGGAUAUGUCAUAUUAUAAGGAGUUUUCUACUUUACACUAAAAUAUCACAAAGUUUCAAGGUCGAUAGCCAUGCAAACAAAUUUAUUUUGACAAUUAUCAUUUGAGAUAAAAACUAAAACAGCAACAUUAUUUUUAAAGUUUUGCCAAAAAUUUCACGUCAACAGUGGUUACUUGCAUGGAAACCAUUCUAAAAACAAUUUUAAAAUUUUUUCUUUUAGUAUUGAAUUAUUUUGUUUUAGAAAAAAAAAACUUGAAUUAAAUUCUUAAAUUAAAUCUUUAUACUUUUGGCCAAAAGUAUAUCAAUUAUUAAGUUUACGGCUAAAGUACAUUUAAUCGUCAUGUUUUGGUCCCUAUGGGUUGGGCCAUUACAUAUAGUGUCUCCUCAUAACAUCUCUGCCCCAUGGAUAGCCGUUGAGGACAUCAAAUUUUCAACAACUUCUAAAUGAAAGAUGUCAACCACUGUCUUUUUGUGUUGACAUCUCAGUACACUUUCAAGGAUAAGCACCAAAUCUAGCUUCAAUUUGUCUAACUUGUGGCCGUAUUCUUGAAUGCAUCCUCUAACUGUGGUAGAAAUACAAUCGUUUGUAUUGGAAAAUAUUCUUUCAGCAGCCUUCUGUUUCUUGAAAUAUGGGUCAUUGCUGUUUCGUUGCUCUUAUACAGUCGGUGAUGAGGACGAACUCAAAUAAAGAGAAUCUAGCUACCUGGUCGUGCCCAAGAUUAAAGUAGAGUGAAUCAUCGAUGAUAGGCUUAAACAGUGGACAUAGUAAUCAUCAAAGAGCUACCUUGAAAAAUGUCUCUCAAAGGAUAGAGGGCCACAAGCAGGAAUAGCGUGACAUAUCUACAUGCUCAUGAUCGAACAACUCUAAUAUUGUCAUAAAGCUAUCAAAAUUAUAGUUCGAAUCUCGAGAAGAUGUCUCAUCCUGACGUCGAGCUGGUAAUCCAUACUACAGAAUUUUAAAUGUUAGAACCUUGUACAAGAGAUAACGCUAAAUCAUAUUAUCAAAAAAUUAAACUAAAUAAUUUGUUUAUUACUAUACGCAAGAAUAAACGGAUAAUGAAAUAAAAGAAAUGAAAGAAAACAAAAAUUAAACAAAAAGAAUUAGCAACAAAAAAAAUAUAUUAAACGUAGAAAAUGAAAAUAAAACGAGGGAAAAAAUUUAUGAUUUUUGAAAAUAUGAAAACAAUAAUUAUCCUUUAGCAACCGAAUAUAAAUUUUCAUCUAUUUCAUUUCGACACGUUUUGUUAAUUUGAGAUACCAAAGGACAAAUUUAAAAAUAAGUUUUUUGUGUCAAAAUUAUAGCUUUCAGUCAAAUAAUCAAGUAUGGAUAUUGGGCUUGUUUCGAAACUCAUAUUAAAUGACGAAUUUUGUACUCGAGAAAAAGUUAUUUUGGAUAAGUUAGGCCUAAGUUAUGGUAGUUCAAAGGGAGUCCUAUUUUAAUUAAAGUUACUAAAUCAAUUAAAUCAUUUUGGCAAUCACUAGAUAAGUUGAAUUUGAUAAUUUUCAGCCAAUUUACCCUUUUUUUUCACGUUUGACUAGGGAACCAGUAUUAAUAUAUUCAAAUGAAAAGUAAAAUUUUGUUAUUGGAAUUCAAUCUUUAUACAAUUGCAGCCAAUUAGUUUCUUAUGAUAAAUAUCAGUUUUUUCCCGGGAACCAUUUGACUUAAUCCCAAAUUCUAGUUCACGUGUAGAUUUCAACAAAAUUAAGAUGCUAUUUUAUAGUAAUUAAAGCUAAUUUAUGUUGAUUGGGUUGUUAGGGAAUAAUAAGAGUCCUAAUCCAAUUGGAUAUCAAAUUCAAAUUAAUGGGACUUUAGUCCCCAUUUGUAAUAGAAGACUGAGCAUACUACAGCUUCUUGUUCAUGCCAUUUUAACAAGAACUCAUCAACAAUUAUGUUCUACCACGUUCUUCCCUUUGAAACACCACAACCAUAUCAUCAACCUGAAACGUUUGCCUACCCAUAUCAGCAGCAACCUUAUACUUUGCAUUGGAGCUUUCAACUUUUUCUUCUCCCAUUGAAUCACCUCCAUAUGUUGUUCAGCUUGUUGUUUAGUUGUUGCACUUUUUGUCAUAGUUGUUUCACCAAACUUCUUUACAUUCAAGGAAAACUUAUUGACUAAUUUGUAGUAGUCAUAAAAGUUUUCCCUUCCACUUUAAAGGUUUUCUAGCACGUCCCGUCUUUUUAUCCUUCCAUUUUAACAUGUAGGUGUUCUCUAUAUCCCGCUAUGUACGGCAUCCAAAUAAAACUGUCACAAUUCGCCCAAUAGAACAUAACACGCUUCAAUCUCAACAAUGACGCAAAUAAUUUUCGAUUUGUAAAAGUCCUCUUGAACAAAGGUAACCCAGAAAUUCGAUUUUACUUGAAUAGACAUACCCUUCUUAAUCCAACCAAUGUGAUAAGAAGUUUGACGUUGUUUAGAUGCCACCUUUAGAUGAUGAUCUACUAGCUUCUUUAGGAUCACAUUAUCACAACUAAACUAUUUAUGAUCAGACUACAAAAAAAUCAUUGACUCGACACUUGGCUUGAAAGAUCUUCCUACAGUGAGUCAACUAUUCCUGCUUUGGCGAGCAUAAGAUUUUUUGCACUAAAUACAUAAAAUCUCCUUGUUCUUUCUCACACAACUCAUCGAAUUAUUCUUCCUUUGGUGUAGGAUGAUGAAUAAUAAUAACAAUUAAUCUUAUUCAUAAUACACAAAGAAGUGUUGCUCAAAUUUUGUUCGAACGGACGUAGAAAUAUUGGAAUCUACCAAUUAACGAAAUAAAUUAUGAUAUUAUUAAUCAAAACAUUUGUAGGUUAUUCAAUCCCUUUAACACAAAUUUAAAGAAUUAAAACGAACUCCAAUCAAUGCAAAACUCUAAUUCUGUAGAUAAAUCUAAAUAAAAUUAAAAAACUAUUAAAAUGACAAAAAUAUUCUUAAAUUCAGUCCAAACAGAAAACUGCUAAAAUGGAGUCCUAAAUAUUGCAUACCAUCCACGUGUAUGCUCUUUGUAGUGUAUGCUAUCCACGUAUAUGCUUUUUGUUUGAUGCCAUCCACAAUUGCUAAAAUGAUUCACCAUUUGACUCGUUCAAAUUUUGCAUGCCAUCUACGUGUAUGCUCUUCGUAGUGUCCACUGCCACGCGUAAAAUCCAUAUAUCUCCAAUCCAAUGUAUAAGGAUACGACCAUUGCAAUUGAAAGUUAACCGAGAAAAGCAGAAGAAAAAUGGCGUCAAAUCUGAAUCCAAGGUAUGCAUACACAGUGGUUUAUGUUAGAGAUGUAGCCAAAUCUGUUGCAUUUUACACCAAGGCAUUUGGUUAUCAAGUGCGCCGCUUAGAUCACUCUAACAGGUAAAUGACAUUGAAAUAUUAUUGCAAUCAAUGACACUGAAAUCACGUGAUUAUUGUUAUGUUAGAAUCUCGAAAUCUUAGUACAUGUUUAGGAACGCUUGUCAAGUUUUAUGAACUGUCAGAUGUCAUUUUCAUCUACACAUUUUCUAUGAUUCACGAUUUAUAAUCUAGUACUAUCCUUUUAUCAUAAUUACAUGCAAAUGAGUCCAGCAUCGUAGAAGUAGAUUGGUGUCAAAUAGACACGGCCACGAGGAUGAUCGUGGGGGGUUCCGUGUGAUUUGAGCAAAUUUUACCCAUCUUUUGUCUAAUUGAAAUUAGAUUUUGUAAAUUUUCAUAAAAAUUGAUGAAAUGAAUGGUUGAGAAGUUAUACAUCUAAUGAAAUGGGUUAUUUAUUGAUUUUAACUUAAAAUUCAUAUCAAAUUAAUAUUUUUAUCAACCUUUUAAUCUAAAUCAAGCAGGGUAUUAAAUUCUUUGACAAACAAUAAAAAAGAAUACUGAGGACCGAUCAAAAAAAAAAAAAAAAAAAAAAAAACUGGGGAAAAAAAGGUAAAAAAAAAAAAAAAGAAUACUGAGGAUAUCAAUGGCCAUGAUUGAAUUGGAAGGUGUUUUCUUCUCUUUUUCUAAUUUCAUGUGGAAUAAUGCUACUUGGCCUCACUGAGGUUAUAUAACACUAAUACAGUUGUUAAAUGAUAUCUCAAAUGAAAGGUGGAAUUAUCAUUCAACUAUUAUUUAAUCCACAUAGAUUGGGGUUAUGGCUAAAUAGCAUUACUCUUUCGUGGAUCUCUCUCGAUAUCACUAUCGAUCUCAAUUGGUCUUUUGAUGGCAUGGAACUUUUACUUAAAAUUUACCUCUUAACAACAUCAUGAAAAAAGUCAACUAUGAUCAGGUUGAAUGAAGACUUGCAUCCUACAUCUCUACCUUGAUUUUGCGGAUUGGGUCCAUUAAAAAAGAAAAAUAUAACCAUAUGAUCUAAUGUUUUGUAUGUGAAAAUAUUUGAAUCUUGUUCUAAUUUCUUAGGAUUUAUAUAUGUUGAAAGAAAUAUGUUUAUUAAUUUUGUUGAUUGGAUUGGAGUAGAUGAGAUGAGCUUGAGAGUGGAGAGACUACAAUAGCAUUAACACCUGCUCACCAACACGAGACGGGUGAUUUGAGUGGUGAGGUGCGUAUGCCACAAUCCAGCCAUGAGAGGAACCCGAUCGAGGUCUGUUUUGACUAUUCAGAUGUGGAUUCUGCCUACAAGGUAUGGACUAAUUAUUUCUCCCUUGUUCAGAAAUAAACAUAACUUCCUUGUGAAGCUAUUUGUGAAGCUAUUUUUUGGUAGUUUGGUACAUUGUGAUGUUUUGAGAUUGUUAUUUGUGGUGGAUCAGAAUGCUGUAGAGAACGGUGUCGUACCAGUUAGUGAGCCAGAGGAGAAGGAACGGGCACAAAAAGUAGGGUAUGUUCGAGAUAUUGACGGGAUUGUCAUGAGGAUGGGGAGCUACGUGAAUUCGUCCAUAGCCCAUCAAUGAACAUCAGCCUGUAUUCUGGAUUUAUCUCAUCUGAUGGCUUCAUUCCCUUCCUUAAUGUUUGUACCAAUUAAAGAUCAUUUACUUUUGGAAGUUGCGGCUCAUCAUUUGAAUUAAUCUGUGUAGAUUGAGAUUAUGAUCCUCUAUAUACAUAGUUGGGUCGAUUUUCAGCACCAGUCUAUCUGUGACAGAGUCAUUUAUAUUGUGGUUCUCCUAGACCUAGUUCAUGAUUUGGACCUAGGGUCUUUAUAUAAUUCUUGUAGCUUGGGAUAAUUUUCUUAUAUUUAUGUUGGAAUGUAUGUACGAAAACAUUUAACAUCUGUUUAUUUAAGUUUUCAUAGUCAAGGGCGUUCAAUAUAUAUUCAUUAUUCACUGGGAUAGUCUAUUAGUUAUUUGAAGGCACAUGAACAAUAUGUCAUGCCCAAUGGAAGUCUCAAUGUAUGCAUUGUAGAUUUAUUAUAGCUAGAGAAUCUCGUAUAUAUGGAGUUGACUCAAUUGAUUAUCUAAAAGUUAAGAUAAUUUUGCAAUUUCACUUAUACAACAUGAGCAUUACUUAAUGAACGCAUUGAUCGAUCAAUUAUAAUUUAUAUUAAUGACAUUUCGGUAUCCUCAAAGGAUAAGGAACAACAUUAAAUGCAAUUGAAGAUUGUAUUAGAGAUGCUCAAAAGAGAUGAAUUAUAUUUAAAUUUAAGAAAUAUGAAUUUUACUUCGACCUAUAAAUUUUUUCGACAAGUACAUCAUUGCACAAGGAAUUGAAGUGUAUGUGACUGUGGUUAAAGCCAUGGCUAAUUGGUUUAGACCAUUUAUUGUCGAUGAGGUCUGUAAUUUCUUGUGAUUGAUCAGUUAAAUGAGAGAUUACUAAUGGAUUUUUUAAAAUAAGGGACAAAAUAACUCUACUAUCUAGAAAUGUGUAUUGCAAUUUCUGGAUUAUUAUAUGGUGAUUUUUGAUCUUUUCAAAUAGAAACGAAUUAAAUAGAAAGAGAUAGAUUAGAAACAACAUAUAUUAUAACUGGUCUCUCCAAACUUUUCAUUUACAAUUAAGCUGGUUGUACAGGGUGACAUGGGUACAACUAGCAUAACCAUUACAUUUAAGUCCCAUUAUGAGAUUCAAGCUAUCAUACACGUUAUUAUUUUUGGUAGUUUGACAUUUUUCACGGAUUCAGGGUAUAAAGUAACACCAGUGUGCAAAAAUAGGUUUAAAUUAAUAAGCUUUUUGUACAAUGCAAUCACUUUAAAAUGGGGCAAAUUGCAUAAAAUUAAAUAAAAAUCAGUUGCUUUAUAUGAGAUUUAUGAUGAGGUUGGUUUUUUUGUCACAAUUAUAUCUCUUUUACUAUACAAAUUUUUAAUUGUAUUACAAGAGUCUAAUUUUUUCUUUUGUCGCAUUUAUGUUCCUAUCAUUUUUUAUCACUCAUCUUCAAUUUUUUAUUAAUUAGCAUAUUUUGUCCCUUUGUUACGUUCAAAUAUUCUAUUAGCUUGGUUUGAAAUGGGAGACAAAUGUUAUGUUGUACUUUUAUAUUGGUUGUUUUACAAUUAAAUAUAAAAAUUAAAUAAGAAGGGCUAACUUGAAGGAUUGACCCAUGCUUGACGAUUAACAAGGUUGGCACUUCGUUUCAGUGUUGUGCAAAGAAAAUAUGGGUUGAGUCAUAAAAGGAUGGCAACUCUGUCGCGUUUUUCGGUUCCGAAUGAUGAAUUGGACAAGGAUGAGUAACAUGGUCGCAUCCCCAAUUCCUUGAACAUGCCCCGAGUCAUUUUAGCCAAUAAUAGUGUUAUGCAUCACUCAUACCUUUAAAUUAGAAGUUGAAAAAAUGGGGAAAAAAGUUUAUUUAACUUUUUGUUUUAGUGUUAUAAUUGAUUAAUAAUAUUUAUUUAAUAUAUUUAUUGUGUAAUAAUAAUGUUUUGAAAAUCAGAUCCGAUUUAUUUGUUUAAUUUAAAAAUUUUGAACUGGUUCCAAAAUCGAUUGGGCGCAAGUCAAAAACUGUCUAAGAAAAGGUCGGAAAAGUGGUCAACAAUAAAUCGAUUGACAGCGGACAUGGGUUUACUAGUUGGAUUCCGUAAAAAAGUGAAAUUUCUUUUUUGGUAAAUGAUUCUAUUUUUGCAUUUAAGAGAUGAUAAAUGAAGAUUAGGCUUGAAGAUGAUAAAAUAAUAAAAGAAAAGUGGCUCGGCCGAAAGCUUUAAGUCCGUGUUUCAUGAAUGGGGACUCACAAAAGUAUGGCUGGAUUCACGACACUUGCAAUAGAGUAACGUGGAUUAAAAAUGCACAUUUUGAAUUAAAUAAUUAGCAUGUUUGACUCAGCUAAAAUUGUUCCAUUAAUGAAUUUUGGGGGGAAAAAUUACUUCAAUGUUUACUACUGUGGUCAUCCUAAUAUGGUCGUCAAUGUUUACCCGACUUAAAUUGUUUGGUCGGCAAAGGUAUAGUUUUUCCGACUUCAAUUCUUUGGGUUGGCAAAGGUAUAUUUUUCCCGACCAAAAAAAGUAGUCAACCUAUGUUUUACCGACUUUGUGUUUAAACCUUCACCGACCCAAAUUAUGGUCAAAAAAAUCUUUAUUAUUCCCAGCCAAAUUCUUGUUGGCAAGUAAAACCCUAAAAAUUUCCCGACUAAUUUGCAUUGCGUAAAAACCUAUAUAUUUCCUAACUAAAAUGUAUUAUGGUCGGUAAAAACUUUUGUUGGCUGGCUUUUGGCGAUCAACUCCCGACCAAGAUUUUGUAGUCGGGAAUUGAAAAUACCGACUAAUAUUUGACAGUUAGCGAUCAGUCUUUGGGUCGGCAAAAAUCAUAUUUCUUGCACUGUGAGUUGCUCAUUAUAUCUUUAGAGAUAAAAAAGUAGUUGAUAUUAUUUAAAUUUUCAAAUUAUAUUAGAAAAUUUAUUCCUUUAAAUUUUUUGUUGAUGUCAAAAAAUGACUAGCUUAAUUUUAUCAACUUUAUUGAUGAUUCGUGAGAGGUAAUUUGAGCCGAAAUAGUAAAAUUAUGCUGAACCAAUGGAAUUGAGCUGAAAUUGUAAUAAAAAUAAAGUGUUUGUAUUAAGUAGAGAAAUUUGGGAGUAUAUACGAUAUGCGUUUAGCUUGUUUUCUUGGGGGACCAUUACAAUCCUUUUUAUCGACAAAGAUGGGCAAAUUGCAUGACUUUACAUCAAAUCAGCUACAAUAUUGACCUUAAUGUGUGUAACUAACCCAGUUUUGAUUAUCUAUUGAGGUCAAUCUCCAUAUGUCAUGAUGAAUUUGAGGCGGAAAGUAAUCAUUGCGAUGGUAGGUCACAAUUUGGCUGCCUCUUUGAUGAAAAUCGAGGCUUUGAUUAUUCAUUCUGAUUAUUUGUGAAGAAAAAUCAUGUUAAGAAUGCGACAAAAUUCACUAUCAAUCCUUAAUUAGAAAUUGCUUGCAUAAAUUUUUCAUGACCAUUAGUUUGCACCUAUACAUUUACUAACUGUUGUUUGUAUUUAUGAUCCAUUACAUAAUAUCAAAAUAAAUUAGUUUAUUUGGUGUCUAUUCAAUUAAAAAUGCAUUUAACUUACCCUUCUAUUAUUUCAUGAAUUCUGUGAAUUAAAUAUGGAUUACAUAUUUGAUUUAAUUUCUGUAAAUAAUAUUCACAUUUGUAGGAUUCUGUUUUAUUUUUCGGUUAAUUUACAAUGGUACAUAUUAAUUCUUUCAUUUUAAAUUCCUUACGUGUUGGAUUUAAUUUACUUAAAUGGCAUUUUUUUCACUUUUAUCCACUAACAAGUGCAUGUGGUUGGUGUUUGAUCAAUUCGUUUCUGAUUCGGCAUCCCCGCAAUUGUUUUUUUAUUUUUUAUUUUAAAAUGUCUCGGCCAUAACUGAGUCAUAAGGAAAAAAUUUUGAUAUUGCAAUAUUAUUAAAUGCAUGCCAGCAAUUUCCAUGAAAGAAUGUGAACUUUCUUGCGAAGCAGUGUUUAAGGACUUUUCUGUCAUUAAUUACCUAUUCUUUGACUCGGAUACUGAUUAUAGUAGGUGGAGGCAAAUCAGCCACCGAAUUGGAAUGGAACCAAAACUUCCCAUUAGAGCAUAGUCUCUAUAUGGUAAUUCAAUCUUUGCUACAAUUGGUAUAAAAUACGUUAGAUUAUUUAAAUGCCAGUCAUGAAUUUAUUUGAUAUUUACUAAUCGGUGCAUGCAAGUCUCUAUUCUAUGAAAGUGCAUGUGUUUUCUUAAGGCAGUUUAUAUGACGGCGACUCUUAAUUUUCAAAAUAUUAUCAAAAUCAAUUGUGGUACGAGAGUCGGGAGUUUUUUUUAAUGAUAUUUUACCACAUCAUGUAUAUAUAAACAAUUAUGUACAUGUAACACAAUCAUUGGUGUAGAGGGAUUUAUUUGACCCAGGCAGCAUUACCGAAUGGGACAACGUUCACUCUUGAUGCUAUGACUGUCCUUUCAUUAUCAUGUGUUAUAUAUUUAUAUGACUUUGAGGCUAAUGUGCCAAAACCUAAAGUUGACAUGCUAAAGUUGGUUAGAUUGCAACACACAAUGUUAAACUCGUACUAAGUAGUUUUCAUUCAAAGAGGGGCAAUUUUUCUGUAAUCAACUAACUUAUGAUUUUAUUUCAUUUUAAUUAUCCAACUUUGAUUUGUUACAAUUUAAUCAUCCUACUUACUUUCAUGGUUCAUACGAUAAUUUUGUCCGUAAUUAUGACCAAAACCAUCCUUUCCCACAAUAACCAACAAAAUGCACAACUCUGCACCUUCUCAAUUCUUAAUGAGCCGUUAGUCGAGAUUGCAUAAAGUGAAAUUUAAGUUCUUAAAUUCACUCAUUUGAACUUUUUUUAUGACCAAAAAGUUUCGAUUUCCAUAUUCAAGUAGGAUUAAUCAUUAUCUUUGAGCACGAUUACAAAAAAUGUGAAGUUGAAUUACACGAUGAAAAUUGAAGUGACGGACCAAGAUGAACUUCCUCUUAAUAAAUCAAGGACUAAUUCCAUUAUAUAAUAUAAAUGUCCACUGGUUUAUAAAUUUUCAUCAUCCUUCUAAAAUAACCAUACAUCCCUCGCGUUCAUCUCAGGAGCUCUAUAUUUCUCUCUCGAACUUCGCGUCCGAACUAAUUUUUAGAUAUGCUUUACCUAGAGGUAAUUUUUUAGUUAAUAUUUCUGUUCAUAUAUUUUGAAUUUUGUUUGCUGGUUAUUGAUGUAUAUAUUAUUAUUAUUAUUAUUAUUAUUAUUAUUAUUAUUAUUAUUAUUAUUAUUAUUAUUAUUAUUUUGAGUUGGAAAUGUUUGUAUAGUGAAAGCAGCUUUUGAUAAUAUGAUUUAAAUUUGUGGAAUCAGGAUACGAGUAAUUGAGUAUUGCUACAUUUUUUAUUUUAUUUUAUUUUUUUAUCUUAUGAUCUAAUCUCAAGAUUUACCAUUCAAACCUUUUCGAUCUAGUGGAAAAUUUCGAUUAUUUAAUAUAAUUGUCUACCUACUUGAUUAAAAACAGUAUUUUUGAGAAUGGAGAAUUCGAUUAUUAUUAUUAUUAUUUAUGAAUUAAAGUACUACAUUGAAAUAUGUUUUUAAGAUAAUGUAAAUUAGGGAGUGGGAAAUAACGUGACCGGAUAAUACUUGAAAAAAAGGAUAUUGGGGUCCUGGUGAUAAGGAAAAAGCAAUUUAGACAAGGAAGAUUGGACAUUUAGGGCCUAUUUAGGAGCGAUUUUUUCUUCCAAAAAAUUGAUUUUUUGAGCGUUAUUUCACUAUUCUAGCCGUCAUAUUUGACUUCUUCUCUCACAAGUGGGCCCCACUUUUCUCCUAACGAUCAAAAAAUAAUUCUUAAAAUCACUCCCAAACAGGCUCUUAAAGCACUAAAUUUUUAAUGACAAAACAAAGCUCAUAAUAACUUUAUCGAGAGAAAGAUGAAAUAAUUUGGCAAGCAUUGAUUGGAGGAAAAAGAAAAGUAAGAACUCAAUAAUAUUACAAUCUAUCCAUCUCUCAUAAAGUAACCCACCUAAUGAUUGUAUAAAAGAGGAAAAAGAAAAAGGGCACAAAAAAAAAAGGUAAUAUUUAUAUAUAUAUAUGUAUGUGUGUGUAUAUAUAUAUAUAUAUAUAUAUAUAUAUAUAUAUAUAUAUAUAGUAUGUAUGUAUGUAUGUAUGUAAAGGUGGAGGGGUGCAUGUAGUCUAUACCAAGGUAAUUGGUGAGAAAUCAGCCAUCGUUCCACAGGUUUUCCGGGAAAGGUGGUGCGAUUUGGUUCCUUCCAAGAGUUUGCUAAAGACUUCCUAGCAUUCCCUGUAUCACAAUUGAUUUAAACAGUAUAAAAACCAAAGAAGAUGGAAAUAUGCCCGAAUCAAUUGAUUAAAUACUUGUUGAUUCCAUCGUAUUUUCAAAACUGAUUUAAAAUUGCAAUGUAGUUGAUUCUAUACAAAUACUGGGUUUGGUUGAUUCCCCAAAAAAAAAAAAAAAAAGAAAGAGGAGGAGGAUAUCGGAUCCAAAAGAACUGAAGAAAUCCAAACUCUUUACAAUGACUCACAGUUUCUUCAUUUAGACACAGUUUUCAGGAAGUUCAAAGGGAAAUGUCAACAAAAUGAAGGAUAUUACAAUUCUCAAACUAAAUUAACAGACAUAAUUCAUAAAUAAACUAAAAGAUAACGUUUGAACCUGUGAACAAUUGAAUGUUGUACCAAGUUCUCAUAACUCAUGGCUGCAUCACAAGUUCAUAAAUAUAGUUGAUAUCUUAAAUCAAAAAAAAUAUGAAAUAGUCUUUCGACAUUUCUUUUUAUUCCAUGCACAAUAAAGGAGUCACAAAGCCAUAGCAGAUCAAAGGAAAGAGACAAAGAGUCGUAGUAUACCAGCAAAACUCAUGCUCUGUUUACUCUUUGAAUCUCGAGUAAUGACUUUCUUCUUGAAUCUCGAUUGAUGACUACUUUAAGCUCUUCAUUUCCCAUUUCUUGUUGUUCUUCCUGAAUUUCCACAGCAGAUUUUGCGAUAGAUUCUGUGCAUCCAUAUACCUCAAUUUUCUGUAAGGUUAAAAUAUAACCUAAACUGGACGGGAUCUUAUUCAAACAGUAGCACUUUCGCAACACUAAUCGUUCUAGUUUGGGGUAAUCAUCACUUGUGGGAUUCCAUUCUGCAUAUUUAUACUGGCUUGCAAUUUUCACAUCAUUUAGCUCGAAGAAUUUGAGUUUUUGGAAUUCACCUUCUUCUGUGUCCCAUUGGUUUUCCUUGAAGGAACCAACACGUAAUUUGAGAACCUCUAAUUUCGGCAAUCUCCCAAUCAUCCGAAUUUUUUCCCACGACAAAUGAAAUUUCAAUAGGGUCAAUUUUUUGAGAUUCAAGGGAAAAUUGGGAUCUGAAUCUCUCAUGAAACUGAUGUUGAGCGAUUCAAGUUGAUUGGGGAAUUGGAAAGGACAUUGAGUCCUGAAUUUGCAUCCCAAUUUGAGGAGAUUGGGAGCACAUCCCAAAACUUUUGCAUCCAUUUCAUUAUAAAUAAAAAGUAAUGAAAUAGAUUGUAGGUUAUUUAUUUGGAAGCUCCCAUCCGUAGUUGCUCUUAAAUGAGAAGAUCCACUGAAGUAUGCCCCACCUCCAAAAUUCAGAUGUUUCAAAUUCUUCAUGUUAAGAACGAAAGCAGGUAUUUCAACUCUGUUUCUGUUCUCCACGUGAGAUAUUCUAGUCUGUGGAGUUUUUCUAUUAAUUGCAGUUUAAGUUCUCGUCGAACUGCCAAGUACCUCAAGUGAACCAAGUUUUCAAUUCCUACACUUACAUCUUCAAAACAAGAACAAUAUUGUCCUGACAAAUCCAUGACCCUGCGGCCUAACUGAGAGUGAACAUAUGGAUCAAAUGGUCUUGGGAAACAAAGACGCUGCAUUUCCAAGAUACUCUUGUCUUUCUUAUACUUCAUAUAUCCGCUGAGUCAACAAAAUCACAUCCAAUCAUCAUCAGAAACAAAAGCAUCGUUAGUGUGACCGUCAAAGAUAGUUACAUUAUCAAUAAUCCAUAUAGAAAUAGAAGAAAGUGAACGAGGAAAGAAGAGAGACAAAGAACUUACUUUUCGAUCCCUCCCAUAAAGUUUUCUUCUUUAGCUAUCCUUAAGCAUAAAUCAUGCAGUAGAUCAUGAAUCAUGCAAGUUUUGGCUCCACCAUUUGAUCUUUCUUCAGCAACUAGUACCAGACCCCUAUUAAUUAGAUCCAUUAGAUAAUUGUGUGCCACAUCCUCUGUGCUCCUGUGGUUUUCUCUGUUUAUAAACCCUUCGGCAACCCAUGGAGAUAUCAACUUCCGUACUGGGAUUAUUUUGUCUUCUCUAAACACUCCAAAGUAUAGAAAACAAGGUUUCAAAUGAACUGAUAAAUGCUGGUAACUAAGUUUCAGUAUGUGGAGACAAUUAUUUGUGUCGUCAAUUAUGUGUCUACUCAAACUUCCAGCCACUGUUCUCCAUGAACCCCUUUUCUUCUGCAUGUUUGGAAGAAUGGAAGAUAUCAUAAUGACUGACAGAGGUAGACCACGACAUCUUGAGGCAAUAUGCUGACCAAUCCCAAGCAAUUCUGGAGGGCAAGGUUCUGUUUGGAACACUUUCCACCUUAAUAAUUCCCAACAUUCAGCAUCUGAUAGGAAAGGAAGUUCAUUAACAACAUCAUUGAAACCCAAUUCUUUGUUCCGAGAUGUGAAUAAGAUUCUACUUCCCGUUAUAUCAUCUGGAAAGUAUCUUUUCAAAUCGUCCUGUUGACACAUAAAAAUUCAGCCCAAAUCGAACAGUCCAGAGAGUAAAGCCCAAUUGGAGGAUCCCCAAAUCAGAUAGCCCAAAGAACGAAAUCCAAUUGAACGAAUCAAGGUGAAGGCCCAAAUAAGGGGCCCAAUAGUGCGGUAACGCCAUCGCCCAAGUUUGCAAGUAGCUCAGAAUCUGAACGAAUAGAGUGGCAUACGGUUGCCCAGAGUCUCGCCCAAAUCUUCAAGUCGCCCAAGGUAUCAACAAACAUAACGCAUUAUGAUUAUCAAGAAAUGCAGUUAUUGAGGCAGUUGCUAAAGUAACCUUAUCACGUUCCACGACUCAAGGGGUUCAAUCGAAAGCGGUUGCAGGAUGCAAGAUAAUGGCAGCAGUUAAAAGGACAGUUUCAUGACAAAAUGGCCACUACAAAGAAAGUGGGUAGUUAUAGGGCGAUCAAGCAGUUUUUUAGAGCAGUUAAUCACAAAGAGAUCGCCUAUGAAGUAUAAAAGGGAGAAAGAACUUAGAAGCAAAGGACCGAAUCCAAAACUCUCGAACAGAGAAUAUGUAAUUUUCAUUUCUUUAGCUUUUAGACUUAAACACUUCAUUUUCUGUAACUCGUGUGCUUGCGCCCCUUGGAGGCACGUUGUUUUCCAUUUCCAAUUGUAAAGUUCAUCGCCAAUAAAAAGAACACCCCUUUUUGGGACUUUGUCUCAAGAGGUUUCGUCCCUUACACAAUCGUCUGAUCCUCUUUAAUUGUUAGCGAAUUAACACGCGCGAAACAAUUUGGCACGCCCAGUGAGACAAUGGUGUUAGGUGUUGAAAGCGGAAAAGGUGAAACAAUAUGCCUCAGAGAUCCGACAAGGAAGGAGCAAGUCAGGGAGGAAUCCAGUCUGUAAUCGAGCGAUAUGAGGAGCAACAUGCCUCUCCACGAACAGAUGGACAAAAUCAGAGCAGUAACAGUCGUUACGAACCAAUGACGAAGCUGAGUCCUUGAACCAUGCGUGCAUUGCUUGGAGAACUCACGCAAGAUGUCGUUGAACAGGUAAAUCUUCGAAGUAUUCAUAAUAUGGAAAGAUUUACACAAAGUGGUAAUGCACACUAUGACAAUAUGGCCAAACAACUAAAGACGUAAAGUGGUAAUGCACACUAUGACAAUAUGGCCAAACAACUAAAGACGUUGAAUGAAACAAUGAACAAGUUAGUGGGCCACAUAUGUCAACCGGCUAUACCUCUUGCAAGUCACUUUCAAACUAGGACGAUCGUAGGACAUAAUCCUUCGGUCCCAAAUCCAAGUCAAGGGGUAGAACCACUUUCUGGUCCCUCUACUUCAAACCAAGGAGGUGCUACAAUACCAAAUCAAAGUAGUAGUAGUGGUAUGCCUAACUUGGGGGGUAAUCCAAACGUGAGAGAUAAUGUCCUAAACAAUGGACAGAAUAUUCCACGUGGUAACGAGGGGGUAGAUGUCCAGGCUAAUGGUAAUGGCCCUAAUUAUGGUAAUUUUGUUGCCAAUCAAGGACCAAACAUCAGACCUCAUGCAAAUCAACCGGUUAAUCAGCCUGUAGGAAUUCCAUAUGAUCCCAAUGUCAAGUUGAGAAAUCAGAUUAUGGAAAUCGUGCAGGAUCAGAUGGCCUUUGGGGUACGUCCUGUCAUUAGACCGACGUACACAAAACCAUAUCCUGAUUGGGUGGACCAAGCAUAUCCAUGGCCUAGAGGGUACAAAGUGCCAGAAUUCUCACUGUUUACUAGUUUGGGAGAGGUGUCUACCCUGGAACACAUAGGGCGAUUCACGUUGCAAAGUGGUGAUGUAACCGAUUACCAGAAAAUGAGACUUUUCCCUAGUUCGUUAACAGGAGUAGCUUUCUCCUGGUUCAUUAACUUGCCAGCGAACUCUGUUCAAACAUGGCAACAACUGGAACAGUUGUUUCAUGCUCAGUUUUACAAAACUGAAUCCGAAGUCACUUUGGCUGAUUUGGCGAAUCUACGUCAAAUGCCAAAUGAAUGGGCAGAAAAUUUUCUCCAAAGGUUCAAAACAGCAAGAAGCAAGUGUUUUGUACCUCUGCCCGAAAAAGAAUUUGUCAAAAUCNNNNNNNNNNNNNNNNNNNNNNNNNNNNNNNNNNNNNNNNNNNNNNNNNNNNNNNNNNNNNNNNNNNNNNNNNNNNNNNNNNNNNNNNNNNNNNNNNNNNNNNNNNNNNNNNNNNNNNNNNNNNNNNNNNNNNNNNNNNNNNNNNNNNNNNNNNNNNNNNNNNNNNNNNNNNNNNNNNNNNNNNNNNNNNNNNNNNNNNNNNNNNNNNNNNNNNNNNNNNNNNNNNNNNNNNNNNNNNNNNNNNNNNNNNNNNNNNNNNNNNNNNNNNNNNNNNNNNNNNNNNNNNNNNNNNNNNNNNNNNNNNNNNNNNNNNNNNNNNNNNNNNNNNNNNNNNNNNNNNNNNNNNNNNNNNNNNNNNNNNNNNNNNNNNNNNNNNNNNNNNNNNNNNNNNNNNNNNNNNNNNNNNNNNNNNNNNNNNNNNNNNNNNNNNNNNNNNNNNNNNNNNNNNNNNNNNNNNNNNNNNNNNNNNNNNNNNNNNNNNNNNNNNNNNNNNNNNNNNNNNNNNNNNNNNNNNNNNNNNNNNNNNNNNNNNNNNNNNNNNNNNNNNNNNNNNNNNNNNNNNNNNNNNNNNNNNNNNNNNNNNNNNNNNNNNNNNNNNNNNNNNNNNNNNNNNNNNNNNNNNNNNNNNNNNNNNNNNNNNNNNNNNNNNNNNNNNNNNNNNNNNNNNNNNNNNNNNNNNNNNNNNNNNNNNNNNNNNNNNNNNNNNNNNNNNNNNNNNNNNNNNNNNNNNNNNNNNNNNNNNNNNNNNNNNNNNNNNNNNNNNNNNNNNNNNNNNNNNNNNNNNNNNNNNNNNNNNNNNNNNNNNNNNNNNNNNNNNNNNNNNNNNNNNNNNNNNNNNNNNNNNNNNNNNNNNNNNNNNNNNNNNNNNNNNNNNNNNNNNNNNNNNNNNNNNNNNNNNNNNNNNNNNNNNNNNNNNNNNNNNNNNNNNNNNNNNNNNNNNNNNNNNNNNNNNNNNNNNNNNNNNNNNNNNNNNNNNNNNNNNNNNNNNNNNNNNNNNNNNNNNNNNNNNNNNNNNNNNNNNNNNNNNNNNNNNNNNNNNNNNNNNNNNNNNNNNNNNNNNNNNNNNNNNNNNNNNNNNNNNNNNNNNNNNNNNNNNNNNNNNNNNNNNNNNNNNNNNNNNNNNNNNNNNNNNNNNNNNNNNNNNNNNNNNNNNNNNNNNNNNNNNNNNNNNNNNNNNNNNNNNNNNNNNNNNNNNNNNNNNNNNNNNNNNNNNNNNNNNNNNNNNNNNNNNNNNNNNNNNNNNNNNNNNNNNNNNNNNNNNNNNNNNNNNNNNNNNNNNNNNNNNNNNNNNNNNNNNNNNNNNNNNNNNNNNNNNNNNNNNNNNNNNNNNNNNNNNNNNNNNNNNNNNNNNNNNNNNNNNNNNNNNNNNNNNNNNNNNNNNNNNNNNNNNNNNNNNNNNNNNNNNNNNNNNNNNNNNNNNNNNNNNNNNNNNNNNNNNNNNNNNNNNNNNNNNNNNNNNNNNNNNNNNNNNNNNNNNNNNNNNNNNNNNNNNNNNNNNNNNNNNNNNNNNNNNNNNNNNNNNNNNNNNNNNNNNNNNNNNNNNNNNNNNNNNNNNNNNNNNNNNNNNNNNNNNNNNNNNNNNNNNNNNNNNNNNNNNNNNNNNNNNNNNNNNNNNNNNNNNNNNNNNNNNNNNNNNNNNNNNNNNNNNNNNNNNNNNNNNNNNNNNNNNNNNNNNNNNNNNNNNNNNNNNNNNNNNNNNNNNNNNNNNNNNNNNNNNNNNNNNNNNNNNNNNNNNNNNNNNNNNNNNNNNNNNNNNNNNNNNNNNNNNNNNNNNNNNNNNNNNNNNNNNNNNNNNNNNNNNNNNNNNNNNNNNNNNNNNNNNNNNNNNNNNNNNNNNNNNNNNNNNNNNNNNNNNNNNNNNNNNNNNNNNNNNNNNNNNNNNNNNNNNNNNNNNNNNNNNNNNNNNNNNNNNNNNNNNNNNNNNNNNNNNNNNNNNNNNNNNNNNNNNNNNNNNNNNNNNNNNNNNNNNNNNNNNNNNNNNNNNNNNNNNNNNNNNNNNNNNNNNNNNNNNNNNNNNNNNNNNNNNNNNNNNNNNNNNNNNNNNNNNNNNNNNNNNNNNNNNNNNNNNNNNNNNNNNNNNNNNNNNNNNNNNNNNNNNNNNNNNNNNNNNNNNNNNNNNNNNNNNNNNNNNNNNNNNNNNNNNNNNNNNNNNNNNNNNNNNNNNNNNNNNNNNNNNNNNNNNNNNNNNNNNNNNNNNNNNNNNNNNNNNNNNNNNNNNNNNNNNNNNNNNNNNNNNNNNNNNNNNNNNNNNNNNNNNNNNNNNNNNNNNNNNNNNNNNNNNNNNNNNNNNNNNNNNNNNNNNNNNNNNNNNNNNNNNNNNNNNNNNNNNNNNNNNNNNNNNNNNNNNNNNNNNNNNNNNNNNNNNNNNNNNNNNNGCUGAAAAGGAAUCAAUAGCUGGAAUGGUCACACAGGAAGACCAAUUUGGUGAAUAAAGGGCAAUUUAUUAUUUGAGUAGACGGUUAACGAAAUGUGAAUGUAAUUACUCUGCUGUUGAAAAAUUGUGUCUAGCACUGUAUUUCACAUGUACAAAAUUAAGGGCUUAUUUACGGCCCGUAACCGUUUAUUUAAUUUCUAAGGUAAAUUUAGUCAAAUAUAUGUUCUCGCGCCCUAUUUUACACCAAAGGGUAGGCCUUUGGACACUAGCUUUAUCAGAGUUCGAAAUACAAUAUAUACCUCAAAAGGCAGUCAAAAAUCAGGCUUUGACUAACUUCCUAGCCGAUCAUCCAUGCCUUGACAUGCCUGAAGAAAUCGAAUUAGAAAUCAACUCGUUCGGACUAAAACCUUGGGUAUUGUAUUUCGAUGGGUCAAAGACCUCUAAAGGUACAGGAGUAGGAGUAGCACUAAUUAAUCGUUUAGGGAUUUGCUACAAAUUCGCAUUCACCUUAGACAGAAUGUGCACCAACAAUCAAGCCGAAUACGAGGCCUUAAUUGUAGGCCUAGAACUGAUGAUAGAUAUGGGAGUAAGAAACGUGAUCGUUAAGGGCGAUUCUCAAUUGGUUAUACAUCAAUUAAUUGGUGAUUUUAAAUGCCAAAGUGAUUCCAUUAUAAGUCAAUAUGAGAUCGCCCAAGAAUUAUUAGAGGAAUUCGAUCAAGUAGAACUUCAAUGCGUUAAUAGGAUAUAUAACGACGUGGCGAAUGAGUUGGCCCAAAUGGCUUCAGGGUACUCUAAAAUCUUGGAUUGAAAGUCUACUUGUGAAUACGGAAUCAUAUUGCCCAUAACUCAAAUAAGGGCGAGAAAAAUUGAACUUCACUGUAUACAAGAUGAAGAUGCAGUGGAUUGACGAAUAGAGAUUAAAGGGUUCCUUCAAGAACCUAAUGGAGGGAUUAGUAGGAAAACAAAGUUAUGUUCGCUGAAUUACAUACUAAUAGACGAAGAGUUAUUUAAGAAACGCCCCGAUGGUGUAUUACUAAAGUGUGUAAGUUUGCAAGAAGCCAAGACGAUCAUGGCUGAAGUGCACGAAGGGAUAUGUGGAGCUCAUCAAGCUGGCCAAAGGAUGAGAUGGUUAAUUAUUAGGAGUGGAUAUUUUUGGCCAAAGAUGGGAGAACUAUGCGUUCAAUAUGCAAAAAGUUGUUUAGCAUGCCAAAAGCAUGGUCCAAUACAAAGGGCGCCAGCGCGAGAGAUGACACCUAUUAUUAAACCUUGGCCGUUCAAAGGUUGGGCGAUAGAUCUAAUAGGGAAGAUCUACCCUCCAUCAUCCAAGCAACAUACUUUUGUUAUAGUUGCAACCGACUAUUUCACUAAAUGGGUAGAAGCAGUACCUUUAAAAGAGAUCACCCAGAAGAAUGUUAUAGAGUUUAUCCGCGAUCACAUUAUUUAUAGGUUUGGAAUUCCACAAACUUUAAUGGUAGAUCACGGAACAUCUUUGAAUGGAGAUCAAGUAAACAAAUUUUUGAGCGAGUAUGGGGUUAAACUAGUAAACUCCACACCGUACUACGCUCAAUCCAACGGACAAGCGAAAUCUUCUAAUAAGAUUCUAAAAAAUAUCAUCAGAAAGAUGAUAGAGGAAAACGCCAGAAAUUGACACAAAUGUUUGAAUAAGGCUUUAUGGGCUUAUAGAACAUCACCUCGGUCAAGUACCAAAGUUACUCCUUUCCAACUUGUUUAUGGACAGAAGGCCGUUUUGCCUAUGGAAAUCAACGUGCAAUCAAUUCGAGUGUGCUUACAACAUAAGUUGAAUGAUGAUGAGUAUGCCGAAUCGCUAGUUCAAAAUUUAUUAAGUUUAGAUGAAUUGAAGUUGGACGUCUUGGAUAGGUUGCAAGUUCAAAAGCAAAGAAUGGCUAAAUUUUAUAAUAAAAAAGUCAUAGCCAAGUCGUUCAGCCUGGGUGAACUAGUUUGAAAGACGAUACUCCCUUUGGAUACCAAGGAUCCAAAGUACGGGAAGUGGUCGCCCAACUGGGAAGGACCAUACAAAAUAAACAAUGUAUUGCCUAAUGGAGCAUACCACUUAGAAGAUUUAGAUGGCACCAAGCACGUAAGAUUCAUUAAUGGCAAAUAUUUGAAAAAAUAUGUUCCUUCUUUAUGGGAAUACGAACAGAUAAAAACAUAACCAAACAUUCUGGACGAUCAAAAAACAAUAAAGACAGAGCGAAAUACAUUCAAAUAAAGUUCUUUAUUACCAAACGUUCAUUACAAGAAUAUAAAAGAUACAAGUAAUAGGCGUGUUACAAAAUACAACUAAAGUAAGAUGAUCUCCCAGUCGAUUACUGAGUAAGCUUCACACUGCCUUCCUAAAUGCAUCGCUACAGUGGUGGGAUUGACGAGUGAGAGGGUGUACUGGCCUCACCACCUUCCUAAAUGCAUCGCUGCAAUAACGAGCAAAUAGGCUGAGAAACACUCUCAGCAGGCAAGCUGAGAAGCACUCUCAGCAAGCAAAAUGGCCCAUGAGCAGCCCAAAAAUUGCCUUCCAUCAUUGACUCCUUGUGAAGAACAAAGAGACGAUGGGAAGAAUUUUGCAGGUAAAAAUUUCGCUGCGGGCCAGAAAACAUUUCCUAUACCUCCCAUACCAAAGGUGACAUCAAAGUAAGUAUAAGGCGGACGGACUAAACAGUCUAUUUUUGGAUCAGAUUGAUCGUCAGAAUGCCAAGAAAUGGCAGCAAAUUGGUUUCGAAUAAGAAAAUGAGGAGAUGAAGAUAGAGGAUGAAAAAUGCGAAACAUUUAUAGAGGGGUGAAGAUGAAGAGACAGAAUAUGAACUGCCACAUUUCUGUCUAAUAGACGGAAUUAAAUGGCCCUAAGUCUUGGGAACAGUAGUGGGAAUAUCAAAAGGGAAUGGACAAAAUUCUUAAUGCAAAGCAGUUAGUUCAGCAUUCUUGGCCAGCAUAGUAAGGACCUCAGAGUAAAUGACCUUCAACGUCGCUUUAAAGUCGGCAGAAAGAUUGAGCGACGGAAGCGUCAGUGCUUGCUCUAACUUCGCACUCAAGCGCUCAAGUUCAUCCUUGUGUCUGGCAGCACUAGCCCUUCCAAUGUCCAUGUCCAUGAAGGACACGUACUCAAAUACCAACUCCUUCAAGAACUUCAAGUCCUCUUCUGAAGAAGCAGCAGGACGAUCAGAUGGAGCAGGGCGAGGCAUUUGAACCUGCCCCCAGGAAGCGAACAAAUUCUGGAUAGAACGCACAAUCCUGUCAGCAUCCUGCAAAGAAGAUUGCCAACAUUAAAAAUAUUCGCUACAACGAACAAGUUGGAAAUAGGAAUGGGGCAAAGAGAAAAACUACCUCAUCGACAAUCGUAGAAGAUGGCGCACCCUCAGCCAAGCUGGCCACCAACGACUCAUCCAUUCGUGAGGACUUCCCCUUGUCCGACCGAGAAGAUGUUGCCACAACGGGCGGACUCAUGGGAGUAUCUGCAAAGUUCAAAGAGCAACCAGUCAAAAACCAAUAGCACGAGCAAAGGUAAGACAUCAAAAACUGAAUUACCUUCUGCUUCGAUGAUUGGGGGGUCGACGCCCUGGGAGGAAGGUGGCUCAUUCAUGGGUUGUGAUGAAGAAUCUGGGACUGAAGAUGUAUCUUUAAGCAUGGUCCCAUCAUCAACCGGUUUGGAUGAAGUAGCCUCAACAGAGGAUGAUGGAGCAGGAAUUGGUAAUGCCAAAGCCUUUGAAGGGGAAGCUGAGCUUUUCUGAAAAAUCCAAAAGAUCAUCAGUACACAGAAAAAUUUCAAAUGGGGAAGAGCAUACUUGUAAAUAGACCAAUUUAAUUACCUUUCUCUUAACGAUAAGAGGGACAUCAUCAUCAUCAUCAUCAACAUCAUCCUCCAGAAUGGGAGACGCUGAGGCUGGCCGUUUGCGGCUUGGAGCACUCUUGGCCAUAGUUGGCCUGGCAGGGAGAGAAGAAGAUGGACGAGCAGAUUGUUUAGUACGACGAGAAGGAGAGGGGUUCCGAAUAGACAAAGGAGUGACCAAAACAGGAGGAGGAGAAGAAAUACUCGGUUGGUCUAAUGAAUGAAAGGCACGAUUGGCCUCAGUCGCAAAUAAUCUGCGCUUCACCGAUGGCCAAAGUUGUUCGAAAAGAGGGUGAGUAGCAUGACAAGGAUUAAAAGGGGCUAAUGAAAAAUGGCUUGAUAAAUGGAGGUUGCGAGCGUUUGUAGCCUCUGCUUCCACCUUAUUAAUGGUAUGAAAACGGUCGUUUAAGUUCUUCGAAUAGCAAAGAGGAACAGGCCAAGUUUGGUCGAAACCAAGCUGCCGAGCAAAAAAUUGGGGAGCAUAAAUUUCUACCCCAACUUUGGCAUUGGUCCCAGUUAAGAUAUCGUGGAAAAGCUCCCUCCCAGUUAAGAACUGGAUCCAAAUGAGCAGAGAGGUGCUCGCGCUAUCUAGAGUGGAAGGAGGAUGUACAUAGUUCGGAGUCAAAAAAGGAGGAAAAGAAAAGAAGGAGGAGAUUGAAUCUAAAGAAUAAAAGAAUGAAAAAAUGUCCCUUCUGGACAUACUUACAGGAGUUAAAGGCUCCAUAGCUAGCCCGUAACAGCUAGCAGAACGACGAGAAAUGGAUGGAGCACCAAGCGAUGGAAAAUAGGAUCUCAACCACAGUUGAGCGAACCAAAGAGGUCAACUGCCAGUAGGAGAUGCACCAUUCUUCAAUUGAGCCUGAAGAAAAGCCAUACCUCUAUAAAGGGCAGCCAAAAACAAAGAACAUAAAUUCAAAGGCCUGCCACGCGCCAGUUCGUGCGCUAUAGGUAGAUAACUCAGAAAGGGCUUUAUACUAGGCACGCACAACACAUAUUUACAAAGCCAAACUAAAAGGAAGGCCACUCGCUCAGCAUGAGUAGGCUCAGCACUCGAAUGAUUGUGGAGUGUCUGCAGACUUGAAUAAGAAUCGGUAUAGUUUUUACUGAACUGUGGGGCGCCACCAGAAACUAAGAUGCCUGGGAAAAAUGGUAUCGCCCAAAGGUGGUAAAUUUACUAGGGCCCCAACAUCCCUUAACGUAAUAGACAUGGGGCCAAGAGGAAAAAUAAAGGUGUUAUACUCAGAGGACCAAAAGCUCAAAGCAAUCGGAAAGAGCGCUGAAUCAAAAGUAGGGGGGCGAAUAGAGAUUUCCAACAAAUCAGAAAUCCUAGCGCUAUCAAAAAGUGCCUUAGUAGGACCAUGACCCACAAGACGAGCAUGCCACCUACGAAAAGCUACGUCAGAUUUGGACCAAAUGCGAAUACCUCUUUCACGAAGUGGCCCCAGCGGCAAAGAAUUUAGAAAAGGAGGGCCAUGAGUGCAAGGAAACAGCUGACCCACCGCCGCCUGUUCAACUGCCUCCGCAUUGUUGAAGAAAGGACCCAAGUAAAACUCAUUACGUCCAACAUCGGCGGGCGCGAGAAAACUUGGGGUUACGUAUGGACGACUCAGAAGUUUCUAAAAGUCAUCAAAAUUAAAGGGUAAUUGUUGACACAUAAAAAUUCAGCCCAAAUCGAACAGCCCAGAGAGUAAAGCCCAAUUGGAGGAUCCCCAAAUCAGAUAGCCCAAAGAACGAAAUCCAAUUGAACGAAUCAAGGUGAAGGCCCAAAUAAGGGGCCCAAUAGUGCGGUAACGCCAUCGCCCAAGUUUGCAAGUCGCUCAGAAUCUGAACGAAUAGAGUGGCAUACGGUCGCCCAGAGUCUCGCCCAAAUCUUCAAGUCGCCCAAGGUAUCAACAAACAUAACGCAUUAUGAUUAUCAAGAAAUGCAGUUAUUGAGGCAGUUGCUAAAGUAACCUUAUCACGUUCCACGACUCAAGGGGUUCAAUCGAAAGCGGUUGAGCGAUGCAAGAUAAUGGCAGCAGUUAAAAGGACAGUUUCAUGACAAAAUGGCCACUACAAAGAAAGUGGGUAGUUAUAGGGCGAUCAAGCAGUUUUUUAGAGCAGUUAAUCACAAAGGGAUCGCCUAUGAAGUAUAAAAGGGAGAAAGAACAUAGAAGCAAGGGACCGAAUCCAAAACUCUCGAACAGAGAAUAUGUAAUUUUCAUUUCUUUAGCUUUUAGACUGAAACACUUUCUUUUCUGUAACUCGUGUGCUUGCGCCCCUUGGAGGCACGUUGUUUUCCGUUUCCAAUUGUAAAGUUCAUCGCCAAUAAAAAGAACACCCCUUUUUGGGACUUUGUCUCAAGAGGUUUCGUCCCUUACACAAUCGUCUGAUCCUCUUUAAUUGUUAGCGAAUUAACACGCGCGAAACACGUCGCACGGUUUCGUGUCCCAUACAUCAUCCAUGACAAUGAGGUAUCUCGUUCCUUUUAAACUUUUGUAAAGCAUUUCAGCCAAAUUUUCUUCCCCCAUCUCCUUGAUUGUUUGUCUAUUAUGGUUUCUUGUCGAUGUCAAAAUGUCAAUCAAUACAUUUUUCUUCUUAUAUGUUUGAGAAACCACACACCAAGCACAUAUGUCGAAAUGAUGGACAAUGGACGGAUCAUUGAACAAUUUCUUUGCUAUAGUCGUCUUACCAAGUCCAGGCAUUCCAACAAUGGAAAUAAUUUGUUGCUUUAGUGGUCCACUGACGAGUUGAUCAGCAAUUUUGGUUUUCUCAUCCUUGAAACCCACAAAAUCGUCUUCCAAAUUGUUAAGUUCUUUAGCUUGAGGCUGUACUUGCUCACAUGGAUAUUCUUCUUCUGGUAUUCCAGCUUCAAUACUACUGCUCUUCUUCCCUUUUUUUUUUUUUUAAAAAAACAUUUACAGAUAUUCUUAACUGAUUGGUAUUGGAUUUCCGUUACAUAGACUCUACAAACAUCAGACCUUAGCUAAAUCCAAAAAACGUCCGAAGGAUAAGUAUAUAGAUCACGUGUAGGAUUGCAGCUAGAAGUGAAAGGGCGGCACAAUAGGCAACUUUAGCUAGCUGAACCAAAGUUUGAGUCAAAAUCCUGAUACCAUGAAUAAUUAUUAGUGUCAGUAAAAUAAUUAUUCAUGAGGAUUGCAUAUUUAUCGUCAAUUCUACUAAUAUUAUCUUAAAUAAAAAACCUUGAUUCAAUAAUCAUAUUUAUCGUUAAUUAUACAUACAGCUUUAUAAUGUGUUUUGAAAUGCAUAGAAUGGAGCACAGAAGUCAUAUCGACCUUUCUAAAAAUGGGUACUCGAUUAAACAUUACCGAAAUGUUACCAAGUCUCAUAAAUUCUAAUUUUGUGUUCCAUUUUCUAGGCACUAUUCAAGCCUUAUUUCCUAAGCCAAUUGUAUACAUAUUUGGAAUCAUUUCAAGGGUCUCGUCCCAUACUAUGCAACAAACUUAAUACCUUAAAUUUCAAAAAUCAUCUUAAUGUGUUAGAAUAAUAAUUCAAUAAAAUAAUAGACAUGUCAUAAAUAUAAAUUAAUCAUACUAAAAGUGUUUACGUCCAAAAUCGAUUGAACCUAGAACACAACACUUACAUGAAAAAUGUGAUGUUAAGUGAUUCCUUAAGAAUACCAACACUUAUAGUUAAGAGAGAAUUAAAAAGGAGAAGGAAACUAUAAUAUUUUGCUCACAGUGUCUACUAGUGCGUACCACACACUCUUAUGUUUUUAUUAUGGUUAGUUGAAUCAUUUAAAUAAAAUAGAACUGUAUUUUACAUUGUAAGCUUUUUCCUCAUGGGAUAGUUCUUGAGAGAAUUGAGGAACCUUCGACAUAAUAUAUUAAUAUGAAUUGGAUUAAGAUCACCAACUCAUUAAUCAUAAAUUUUUUUUUUUUUUUGUUAUUUGUUUAUUUAAUCUUUUAAGAUGUGUUAAGUCGAAACUCAUGAAUAAUGACAAUAGGUGCAAAUUCUUCAUUUGGGGUGUUGAAGUAUGUUUGGUAUGUUAAAUCGAGUUCAUAUUAUUAAAGUAUAUGCUAAUACAAUACUAAAUUGAAAUAUGUUUUAAGAUAAUGUAAAUCAGGGAGUGGGAAGUAAAGUGACUAGAUAAUAUUUGAUAAAAAGGAUUAUUGGGGUCGUUGUGACUAAGAAAAAGUGAUUCAGACAAUGAAAGCUGAAUGUGGAUAUGAAUUAAAGUACUAAACUGAAAUAUGUUUUUAAGAGAAUGUAAAUUAGGGAGUGGGAAGUAAAGUGACUAGAUAAUAUUUGAAAAAAAUGGCUAUUGGGGUCCUUGUGACAAAGAAAAAGUGAUUUAGACAAUGAAGAUUGGAUGUUUAAAGUGCUAAAUUUUUAAUGACAAAACAACUCAUAAUAACUUUAUCGAGAGAAAGAUGAAAUAAUUCAACAAGCAUUGAUUGGAAGAAGAAGAAAAAGUAAGAACUCAAAUUCAAAUUUUUUUGUGGAGAACAUGGCAUACAUCAUUCUUUAACUGUUCCUAUGUUACCUCAACAAAAUGGCUUAGCAAAGAAGAAAAAUAGGGCAGUCAUAGAAACAACUAGAAUUAUAUUGAAGACCAUGCAAUCGCCAAAAGAAUUUUGUGCUGAAGCUGUACAAUGUGCUGUGUAUUCACUUAACCGAUGCCCAACAAAAAGUGUAUAAAAUGUGACUACACAAGAACCUUGGAGCGGAUUCAAGCCAAGUGUGUUGUAUCUACGUGUUCUUUGGAGUAUUGCAUAUUUUCACAUUCCAAAAGGAAAGAGUAGCAAAUUGGAUGACAAGAGUGAAAAAUACAUUUGAUUCUAGAUUGAAAGGCUACAAACUCUACAACCCGAAGAAUAAGACGGUGAUCACUAGUAUUUGAUGAAGAAGGAAUUUGAGAUUGGCAAAAUAAGAAAGAAGAAAAUUAUUAUUUCUUUCCUUAUGAUGAUACUAAAGAACAAGCUGGAGUGGUUUGCCUCUACUAACCCAUCAUCAACUCCACAGCAAGAUAUGGUCAAGAUUCAUCUUCAACAUCCUCAAGUGAAGGGCCACAACGAUAUAGGAAUUUUCAUAAGAAUUAAUUCUUUUUUGUCUCUUUGCCAAGCAUGCAAUUUUAGUUUUUAAUGAUGUCAUUCAUGACAAGAAAUGGAAGAAAUCCAUGGACGAAGAAAUCAAAGCUAUCAAAAAGAAUGAUACUUGAGAAUUAACCUCACUUCCUGAUGGUCUAAAAACUUUUGAAGUUAAAUGGAUUUUCAAAGAAAAGAAGAAUGCAAGUUGUGAACUUGAGCAACACAAGGCAAGAUUAGUGGUUAAAGACUAUAUAAAUUAUUGUGUUGGAAUUUAAAAAUAAGUAGUCCACUACUUUUUCUAUAAAAAGUCUCACGCUAUCUUAGUUGGAUUCUUUUUAUAGAUAUAAUCAGAGUGAUCAAAAUAUUGCUAGUACUUCGAAGACCACUUUUGUUCCUGUCACCAACAAUCUAGGUAUGUUACAAAUCUUGAACCAUAGAACAAGUGUAUCAGAGGCCGACUCCAUCAUAGGACUAACUAAUCCAAAAAUAAAUUUUUUUUAUGAUUGUUGAGUUUAAUUGCUAGGGUGCACACUAGUUUGUUAUUUUCUAAAAUCUAUGGCUAAGUUAAACUUGAAAUCCAUAAUUAUUUUAUUAAUUUAACUUGUGAAACAAUUAGGAUUAGUAAUUUGCUGCUUUGGAAAUUAUUAAAUCUUAGGAAGAAUAUUUAUCUAGGUUAAAUGCAAUCGCGUGUGUCUGUAUUAUCUUGUUCAUUGAUUUCCCUGUUUUAUAAAGCAGUUAUUGAAUUAAAUCUUCACGCUUGUCUAGGAUUGUUAGAUAACUAGGAUUAAUUAUAUCGCUUGUUUCUAAUUAAUUAAAAGUAAGGAGAAAUAGGAAAUCGUUUCACAUGGGAAAAUAUUUUCCACAAUGAAUGCUAAAAUUAUGAUGAUUAUUUGUGGAUCAAUGACCGGUUACGAAUUGCUAAUGGUAAAUGUUGACUUAGAUCAAGGUUCGUUGUAUUGAUUUCAUUUAAUUCAUUGAAUUGCGUUGCUAUUAGUUAUUUUCAUUGAUAAUUAAUUGUUUCAAAACCAAACCCCCCCCCUUUUAGUUAAUAUUGCAUAAAAAAAUAAACUAAACACUCUUAGUGGGAUCGACCCUUACUUCCACUGCUACAUUAAUUUUAAGAAGUAUAAGUUUUAAUUUUGAGUGCCUACGAUAGCACGUACCAAAUUUUAGUGCCGUUGUCGUGGAGUGAUUUAGUUUAUUUUUGUGUUUAUUAUUUGUUUCAUUAGUUUUUGUUUUUUUUUAAAUCUUUGUUUUUCAUUUUUUUUUAUACAUAGCUUCCUUGAUUGUUUAUGCCCAUAACUCAAUCCUCUAACCGAAGUGAUUUGCUGUACGACCCAUAAAUAGAAAGAAAUUUAUGCAGGUUAAUGAGUAACUCUUGGUGGAAUUUUGAAGAUGAAAUCGUGGUUGGACAUCAAACCUUGAAGGAGCUUGCAGCUCCAAAUUCGAAUCAACAACCCCUCUGCAUAACUUUUCCUACUUUAGAUGCUACUACCACUUUUGAACUUAAAUCUGGACUAAUACAUCUUUUGCCUACUUUUCAUGGUCUUGCAAGUGAAGAUCUCUACAAACAUCUAAAGGAAUUUCAUGUGGUUUGGAAAAGGAUGAAACACACUAGAGUAACUGAAAAGCAAAUUAAAUUGAGAGCCUUUCCAUUCUCCUUGAAGGACUCAGCUAAGAACUGGCUCUACUACCUAUCAUCUGGAAGUGCCACAACAUUGGCGGAGAUGGAGAUGUUGUUUUUAGAGAAAUAUUUUCCAACUUCAAGGAUAGCAAACAUCCGAAAAGAAAUUUGUGGCGUAAUGCGGGACAGUAGGAAAUCCUUACAUGAAUAUUGGGAGCGUUUCAAAUGACUAUGUUCGAGCUGUCCUCACCAUCAAAUUAGUAAGCAGCUCCUCAUUCAAUAUUUUUAUGAAGGUCUUCUACCCACAGAUAGGAGUAUGAUUGAUGCUGCAAGUGGAGGAGCUUUGGUCUACAAAACUCCCGAGGAUGGGAGAAACUUGAUUGCAAACAUGGCAGCCAACUCUUAGCAAUUUGGCACUAGACUCAACACCCAUUUUAGACAUGUUAAUGAGGUAAAUAUUUUAUCUAUUGAACAACUUGUGAGUCAAACUUCUCAUGUUCGUCAAAUGGCUACAGGAAUCAUGCAAAUAGCAAAGGCUUGUGGAAUCUACUCGGUAGCAGGGCAUCCAAUUGAAAUGUGCCCAACUCUUCAAGAAGAUCCUAGUGAACAAGUUAAUGCAAUGGACGGCUUCCCUAGACAAUAAACACUUAUAACUCAGGAUGGAAGGAUCAUCCUAACCUUAGCUAUGGGAAUCAACCAGUGAAUCAACCAAUGCCUCAAAAUUGCCCAAACUUCUAGUAAUACAGGCAGCCAUAACCUCCUAGACAACUAUAGGACCAAAUUUCAAAUUCAGUUAUGCCUUUAGAAUAUAUCAUAAAGUCUCUUGCCACUAACACUUUGCAAUUCCAAAAGGAGACGGGGGCAAGUAUUAAAAGUUUGGGAAAUCAGAUGGGUCAAAUGGCAACCUCAAUCAGCAUGCUAGAAACAUGAUGUUCAGGAAAAUUACCCUCUUAAAUAAUGGUCCAAGAGAAAAUGCAUCUGCAAUCACCCUGAGAAGUGGUAAAGAUGUUGAGAUUCCGAUAAAAGUAGUCCCUACAUCAAUAGAGCAACAAAAGGAGAAAAAUGUCACUGCAAACACGGAUGUUCCCAAUGACAAUGACAUAUCUAAGCUUAAGUUUCCACCUCUUUUUGAUUAUAAAUCGGUAUCCCCUUUUCCUCAAGGUUUGGUAGGAUAUAGGGAAGAUGAACGAAAUCAUGAGCUUUAUGAUUCUUUUGGUAGAUGCAAGUUAAAUAUUCCAAUUAUAGAUGUUAUAAAACAAAUACCUCGUUAUGCUAAAUUUUUGAAACAUUUGUGCAAGAGUAAGAGGAAACGAAACUCAAAGGAUGUGAAAAGGUAAACGUUGGGAAUAAUGUCUCUGCAAUUAUUCAAAGAAAACUCCCCAUGAAGUGCACAAACCAAGGCAUGUUUACUAUCCCUUGUACGAUAGGCGACGCUAACUUUGAAAAUGCCAUGAUAGAUUUAGGAGCUUCAUUAAUGUCAUGCCAUAUUCUAUAUAUGCUUUUUUGAAACUUGGACCUUGAAUGAAACUGGUGUUGUGAUAUAACUGGCCGAUAAAUCUAACACCUAUCCUAAGGGUUUGGUUGAGGAUGUUCUUGUGAAACUUAAUGAUUUGAUUUUUCAUUUGCUAAUUUUUAUGUGCUUGAUAUGGGUAAUAGUGAUCAAACUACCCCCAUUUUGUUAGGAAGACCAUUAUUAAAAACAUCCAAAAUGAAAAUAGAUGUACACAGUGGCACACUUACUAUGGAAUUUGAUGAAAAAAUUGAUAAAUUCAAUAUUUAUGAUUCCGUAAAAUGCCCUAACAAUGAUAAUCAUGUUUACUCUAUUAAAGUGAUUGAUAAUUUAGAACAAGAAAUGUUAGAACCUGAUGAAAACAAUUAGUGAAAAUUGCCAUUGAUAAGCAUAUUGAGGAGGUCAAUGAGGAAUUACCCCAAAAUACUGUCUUACAAGAAAUCGUUGUAGCAUUGAAUGCUUCUCCAAAGUCACCAAAGUCAGUAAAAGUUUGCAUAUUAUUUUGUCAAUUUCUAAUAAGAGACAUUUCAAUGCAGGUUUCCAAAUGGAGGAGGUGAGAACAUGGGGCCUUGGAAAUCUAAUUGAUGCCGGUUGAGCAAGAAAGCAAUAAAUCUAGCCAAAGACAAUAAAUAAAGGAACUGCUUGGGAGACAACCCAAGGGAGCUCAUUCUUUUAUCUUUUUAUUUUCAUUUUUCGUUUUUGCAUUCAUAUAUUUGGAAAAUUUUGUUUCCCUCUUUGCAUUUCACUUUAUAUUGGGGACAACGUAAAUUUUAAGUAUGGAGGAAGAAUUUAGGUUGUUUUUAAAUUUUUAAUGUAGGUCAUGCUUGCAUUACUUCUGAAAAGAUAAGAAAAUUAUUUCGAGAAAAAAUGAGAAAAAAGUUGUCAUUUUACAUGAUUUUUGAUUGUGUGUGCUAUCUGCUAGAUUCAAUUGGGCUUUGAUGAAUUCAUAACAUGAUUGAAUGAAUAAUCUUCCAACUUAGAGUUAGUUUGUGUUGUUAUUUUCUUUGAGGAUGAUAGUAGCUAAAUUUUGUAGACAACAAGCCAGGGAGAUUUUGGGCCUUUAAACUGACACAUCUAUUCCAAUCUCACUAUUUUCUUUCAUGAAUGAUUUUCUUCCAUGAAUUUGCUUCUCUAGAACUUACCUUAAUUCUCUUCGAGGCCAUAUUGAUACGUGCAUGCAUGAACAUGAUUAAAACCAUCUUUGUUACAUAAGUUAACCACCUUAGCCAAAUAACCUACCCGAUAAUUAAUUUUUCCCUUUGUUGAACCCCUUUGAGCCUUAUAGCCUUUUCUUUUGUAAACCCAUAUUACAAGCUUUAAAUCUAAAAAAACAAUGUCAUUAGCUAGUGGAGUAUUGUUCAUCGUUUUGAUUUAUAUGGGAGUGCGAAAGAAAUAAGUGUGGGAGUAUCUAAAAUUUUAGUAAGAUUAUAAUGAUGGAAUGAAACACGUUCUCAAAUUAAAAAAAAAAAAAAAAAAAGAACAGAGAGAGAGAAGUGAUGAAGUUAUAUUCCCGAUUUUUCUUAACAUAACAAGAAAAGGGAUUGGGUUGUAUGAAAUAGAUGCAAAGAAGCUAUAAUUGGGGAGAUUUGAUCUUAAAUGUUUCACAUAUACAUUUAAGCUGAGUUAAUUCAUCUUUACUCAUCUAGUUUCAAUGGCUUUUGAGUUACAUAUCCAAAUAUUUCCCACCUUAACCUUAAGCCACGUUACAACCCAUGUAAAAAACCUUAUGAUUUGUGCAAUGCAUGUGAUCUAAUUGGAGGAAAAUGAGAAGAUAUGCAAGUAUAUGGUAGAUCAUUUCCAUUGUAAUGAACUUGAGGGAAACACUUACCCAUGAGAGUUGAGUGCUUAUAUCCCGUGAGGGUCUACAUGUUUGGUUUACUCUAUCUUUAUAUGACAAUGCUUGCUAAUUGAUUAUGAGUUGUGUGAGAAUGUUCGGUCAUGAUAUAUUGUGCUUUGAUGAGUUUGAUUAUUUUUUGUUGAUGGUAUUGCAACCUUAAUAUUUUUGUGAAAGUAAGCUUAAGUUUUACUCGAGGAUGAGCAAAAGCCAAGUAUGGGGGAAUUUGAUAAGACAUGAAAUCUCGUGUUUUACAUCCAUUAAUACUUACACUUUUAUGAUUAAUUGAUGCCUAAAUGUACUUAGUACCCUUGUAUUUUAAUUUAGGUUGCAACUGGAUGGAAACCUUGAAAGUUGGGAGAAAAGAGCGAAAAGGGACCAAAAUGGAAGCAAGUGAAAGUUUAGGGACCAAGUUCAAAUAAUCCAUAGAUGUGACAAUUAUGAAAUGAAGAUUCAAGAGUGUUGGAGGUCAAUUCGAUAAAGAAAAAAGUCAAAGAGGUGAAAUAUAAUUGAAGUAAUAUCAUGUAUCAACUUUCAGGCGAAAAAGCGAUGCUUGAGAUUUUUAGUCUCUACUUGAGACCCAUUUUUGGCACAGUAAAUAACCAUAACAUCCUAUUUCUAUCAAAACUGUAGAUCUUUAAGUUAGCUUCUCAAUGCAACUCGAAUCACCUCAAUCGGACAUCGGGAAAGAAAGUUAUGACCAAAAUACUAGAAGUUGUCCGGCGAGAAAACGAUUAAACUAUGCGGUCGUAUAGUUCAAAAUCAAUACGGUCUCAUAGUAAUCUCUAGGGAACUUCAGAGCUAAAAUUUAUUGUUCUAUACACUACAAUCCUUAUAACUAUGCGGUCACAUAGUUAUAUUUCAACACGUGAUUUUUACUUUUCUAAUUUGAAUCAAAUACUUAUGGAAACAAAUCUUGUACACAAUAUAUAAGCCCCAGAACUUGUCCAAAACCUAGAGGACGCCCCCCCCCCCUUUCCAAAUCACUCUUCUCUUUUUUUGUGCUCUAAAAUUGAAGAGCUCUAGCUAAUUUUUCUUACUUGAUCAAAGGGGAUGAAACCCUUGGAACAAUUACCUGUGAGAUCCACCUGGUUUUUUUUUUUUUUUUUUUUUUUAUGUAAACUCUAUUUUAAAUUCUAUUCAAGUAGAAAUAGAAUAAAAAAAUAAAAUCGAUAAAUUCUAAAAAACAUAAAAUUUGAAAAAUAAAAUAUAUCAUUCUAUAAAAUUAAAACUAAAAUCCUCAAAAAAUAAAUUAUAAAACAUUCUAGAAAAAAAAUUUAAAAAACUAUAUAUAUUUCUGACUAAUGAUUAUUUACACAAAAUUUUUUGAAAAAUAUUUGAAUGAACAUAGACAAAAAUAUUUUAAAUCCACGUUAUUAAUUAUUUAUUUUUAUUUUCUACAUUUUAAAAUUGUUACGGUGCACACUAGUUAAUUAUUUUCUACAAUCUAUAGCUAAGUUAAACUUUAAAUCUGUAAUUGUUUGAUUGAUUUAACUUGUGAAGCAAUUAGGAUUAGUAAUUUGAUGCUUUGGAAAUUAUUUAAUCUUAGGAAGAAUAUUUAUCUAGGUUAAAUGCAACCGCGUGUGUUUGUGUUAUUUAGUUCAUUGAUUUCUCUAGUUCAUAAAGUGGUUAUUGAAUUAAAUCUUCGCGCUUGCUUGGGAUUGUUUGAUAACUAGGAUUAAUUAGAUCACUUGUUUCUAAUUAACUAAAACGAAGAAGAAAUAGAAAAUUGUUUCGCGAGGGAAAUUAUUUUCCACAAUGAAUGCUAAAAUUAUGAUGAUUAUCUGCAGAUCAAUGAUCGGUUAUGAAUUUUCAAUUGUAGAUGUUGACUUAGAUCAAGGUUCGAUAUAUUGAUUUCAUUUAAUUCAUUGAAUUGCAUUGCUAUUAGUUAUUUUUAUUGAUAAUUAAUUGUUUCAAAACCAAACCCCCCCUUUAGUUAAUAUUGCAUAAAAAAUAAACUAAACACUCUUCGUGGAGAUCAACCCCUUACUUCCAAUAUUACAUUAGUUUUAAAAAGUAUAGGUUUUAAUUUGGAGUGCCUACGACAGCACGCACCAAAGGAUCUUGAAAAUGGUGUUUUACGGGCUCGAUCCACAACCACUAUAUUUACCUCGGUUGCUUUACAAUCUCAUCCAUAGAGGACAAGAUAACAGUGAUGAUUUGUAGCUACAGAGGCAAGGGAAAAUUUAAUGGAAGAAGACGCAAGAAGGAGACAAAAAUUCACAAAGAAAUCUCUUGGUUUUGGCUACCAUAAAGGUGCCAUUUUUCUCCACUUUCUCCCACACAUUUCUCACCACUUUUCUCACACACAAAGGGCACCAGAAAAUGGCCUAGGUUAUAAUCUUAUAAAUAGGCUAGGGUUAAGCUUUAAGUUGGACCAAUAAGAAAGUUAAACGAGUCAAGAUUCAAGUUAUCCUAGGGAGAAUACAGUUGAACCGGGUAGAGCUCAUAAACUUGGUUGCUGGUAUUUAUUUCAUUCAUCAUCCUAGGUCUAUGAAAUAUAUUAUCCCACAUUAAUAUCAUAGCCUGGAAUUUAUUAAGUAUCAAAAACCCGACAGAAUUUGCAGCAAGUCAAUUAGCGCCAUGAACAGAUGCACAGGCAGCUUCCCCAGCAGCUAAGAGUUCUAUAUUAUAUGAUCAAAAGUAAAAAUUUCAGCAUGAAUUUGUACCCCGCCAUGGUGAUUUGUGGGGAUCCCACCCAUGUUAUAAUGGACAGUAGGUAAAACAGGGAAGCAGUAGUUUCGGAUAUUCCAAGAAGUCUCUCCUUGAGAACCUCAGGAGGUAAGUGAUUUAAGUGAAGAUAGAUAUGAUCUUUCUGGAUCCUAUUGAGAAACAAAAAUAACCAGUUAAAUGAUGUAUUAGUGGUAAAAAUCAAUCCUAUGAACUCCGCUAGCUGCCGCAUAUUGUUCUCCAAUAGAUGGUUAUUCAUUUCUCUAAGCUACCAGCCAUACACAUAUAACAUUAUUUCUGAAUAAACCACCACCCAAUAUCAUAUAUCAUUCACCUAUACACAAUAUAAAGGAGCACAUUUAAGCUUACUCAAGGCAAAUGCUAACUUAAUAAUUCAUAAGAUCUACUAAUCAUACUAUGACAAGAAUGAUUUAACAAGAUGGUGAAUUCUGAUAUUAUAACGAAUAGAGAUUUGAAACUUAGGGAAACCAGCACCAUGUUCAUGAGGUACUGCGACAAAGAUUACGUGGAAGUAAAUUUAUUUUCUUUUCUUUGAAAAAUCAAAAUUAUUUAUUACAGGAAAGAAUAAAAGCCUUAAUAAAAUAUAUUAAGAAGAGUGAAAGAAGUAUCAAAAAGUCAAUCCGAGUCCAAAAGAACUUUGAAUUGAUUGAUUAUUACAAUUGAAAAGAAAGAAAAUAAGACUCCUAGUUCACCAGGAAGGAUUUCUUCAUUUUGAAUGCCCUCCACUAUUUUCCCCUAAAACAACUCACCCUAGACGUGGAAGUGACUCUUCGAAUACCAAAACUUAACACAUUCAGAUAAACAAAAUUUUAAGGUACACAAAAGAUUGUAAAUGUAGUCAUACUACACCACACCCUUCUUGGAUCUCCAUUGUCAUAGAUCUCGAGACGACGUCUCUUGAUGCAAGAUCCUUAGCUGUUGGGGCAUACUGUUCCAUGAAUCUUUCGCCUUCACUAUUCUUAAGAAUACCACCUUCACCCCUAGACCCUGAACAUGGAGAAACAAACAUUGGAAAUGAAAGCAUCUGUUAAUAAGUAAAGUUAGAGUUGUAGGUUUAUAUAGAUCAAACCAAGAUAGAUAGGCACAGACCUUCAGUAAUGAGACAGCCUGCACCACGUAUACUAGUUGGAUGAAAUUGGACAAACUCCUGCAAAAAGAAAGUCGAUAUGCUAUAGCAGAAAACACUAAUAAAAAAGAGAGAGAUUCAUUUAAUUGAAUCAACCCAUUAUGUAAACAUAAUAAAUAACAAUAAAAAUACAUUUAUAUCGUCAACUAGUAAAGUUGACUCCGUCAUUACAUCUUCAAAUCACUUUCCAGAGUUCGGUAUUGUCUUCUUCCCUAUUGUGUAACUAUCAUCACUUUCUAGCAUUCGGUAUUGUUUUCUCUCCUAUUGUGUAACUAUCUCUAAAAAAGAAAAAAUAUUACAACAAACAUAGAUGAGUUAGUGUACUUUAGCAACAUCAUAAAAUACAAACUUGGACUUAAGGAAUUUGAUCCAUUCAUUGAAUGCUUUCUGCCUUAUAGGGUCGAUCAUGGAAGAGAUUGGGGAACGUCCUCUCCACUAAUUCAUUCCUUUUGCCCCAAUUGUGAAGGGAGAAAUGAUGUAAUGUGAUGGCAAUCUCAGCCUCUUGCCGACCACUAGCUUUGACAUUUCAAUAGCACGCUUUGUACACUUUUGUCACCUUUAACACCCCUCCCACAUAAAAUAAAAUCCUCCAUCAUGUUGGGCGUACUCUUCUCCUUCUUCAUCCCCUCCGGUACUCUCUCUAUCACAUCGUCCACCAUUCCAUCUGUGUUGAAUUCGUUACUUCCUCUGUCCCAGGUGCCAUAAGAUCUUCUAUCAAAUCCUUGAUCUUAAGCACCAUUACUCCUCUGUUUGUCGGACAGUUACCGACUUCAUCACCAUUGGGGCCAUACGUUUCAUCCUAGAAACCUACGAUCUUUUUUCACGCCCCCUGUCCUUGGCAUCAUCUCAUAAUCUGUCACCUCGAUGGUUAGUAGGUCAUUACCAUCGGAGCUAUCCCCUACAUAUACCCUUCAACACUGGGACCUUUUCCUCCAUAGUUGCAAAAAUGAUUCGAAUGCAAUGUCCAAUGGCCAUGAUGAAUCAUCAUACCCUAUGAGACCUUCUCUUCCAGAGCCUCCACCACCCCUCCAUCUUAAAUAUCCCUAGUCCCUCCGGUACUCGCACCGCCUAUCUCUUCGCCAUCCCCUUGUGGGCUUACUACAUUACCUCGUAUCGCUGUGACCUCAUUAGUCUCCUAAAUCGGCUCGUAUGUUCUAACAUCAUGUCAUAACUUCGUUACUUCACCUCUCAUGUCCUGUCGCGAUGCCCCUAUCAUCUCUUGCAGCGCUCCUAUCUUUUCUCUGAUAAUCUUAGUUAGAUUACAAACAAAUCAUCAAAAUAAUUACGCUGACUGGGUGCAAGAGAUUCAUGGGUAAAAUCUCCAAAUAUGGGAAAAGGAGAUCUCCUCUGUGACGGUGAUUUUAUUGACAAAAUUGAUCUCCUCGGUGAAGGUGAUGGUUGAUCCACUGGACGGUGUUCCAAUUAUAGUAUUAAAUGAUGUGUUAAUGAAAUGUAGAAUUAAAUUACUUAUUUCAUUUAACCUAUUAUUUAAUAUCACAUGAGCGCCACGUAAAAUCGGGUCAUAGUUUCAGUAGGACUAAAUAGCAUUACUCUUUCAUAGGUCUCUCUCAAGAUCACUAUGGAUCUCAAUUGAACUAUUUAUUUCGAUGGCGUGGAACUUUUACUUAAAAAUUACCUUUCAACAACUUCACGAAAAUAGUCAACUACGAUUAGGCUGAAUGAAGACUUGCAUCCACAUCUCUACCUUGAUUUUGCAGAUUGGAUCCAUUAAAAAAGAAAAAUAUAACCAUAUGAUCUAAUGUUUUGUCCGUGAAAAUAUUUGAAUCUUGUUCUACUAUCUUGGGAUUUUACAUAUGUUGAGAAAAAUAAGUUUAUUAAUUUUGUUGAUUGGACUGGUGUAGGUGGGGUGAGCUGGAGAGUGGGGAGACCACAAUAGCAUUAACACCUGCACACCAACACAAGAUGGAUGAUUUGAAUGGCGAGGUGCGUAUGCCGCAAUCUAGCCAUGAGAGGAACCCGAUCGAGGUCUGUUUUGACCAUUCCGAUGUGGAUUUCGCCUACAAGGUAUGGUACAAUUAUUUCCACCUUUUUAAGAAAUAAACAUAACUUCCUUCUGAAGAUUUUUUUACUAAUUAGGCACAAUGUGAUGUUUUUAUAUUGUUAUUUGUGGGUGGAUCAGAAUGCUGUAGAGAACAGUGCCGUGCUAGUUAGUGAGCCCGAGGAGAAGGAAUGGGGACAAAAGCUAAUGUACGUUCAAGAUAUUGACGGGAUUGUGGUGAGGAUGGGGAGCUUAAUUUUUUAAUUCUAUUACAGGAGUUUAAUUUUUUCUUCCGUCGCAUUUAUGUUCCUAUCAUUUCUUUAUCGCUCAUCUUCAAAUUUUCAUUAAUUAACAUAUUUUAUCCCUUUUAAUGGUUUACGCUCAGAUAUUCUAUUAGCUUGGUUUGAAAUGGGAGACAAUUUUUAUGUUGUACUUUAUAUUGGUUGUUUUAUAGUUAGAUAUAAAAAUGAAAUACGAAGGGCUGACAUGAAGGGUUGAUGUGAGAUACCAUAUUGCUAAGUAUUUUAUAAAUUAUCUAAACAUAAACUUAUUUGGUUUGGUAAAAAUUAAAAUUUAAUUAACUUUUACUAUAAGUUUUGAGGGAUACACAAGUUUUCAACCAUAUAUUUCAUCAAGUUUUAUUAAAAAUUUUGAUUUUAAUCUCUACCAAAAGAGUAAGAAUUUGCGAAAUUCGGAAAAGAAAAAAAGUAGAAGAAACCAAUUGGGACAAAGACUAGAUUGGAUUCUGCAAAAGCUUUUGUUCGUUGUAGAAAGAAGAUUAACAGGCUAUUUGUUGCACAUUUUAUCAAAAAUGAGAAUGAGAAUUCUUACCGUUGGACACAUUUCUCAUAGCAAAAUGUGAGAUGAGAGUCAAAGCAUUUACGGCAAAUGAGCCCUAGAAAUGGCUAUAUUUUUUCUAAAAUUGAGGAAAAAUGUGCAACAAACAAGCUCUAAACCAACAAGGGGAUGAUGAUCACCCCCACGCGCAUUUUUGCAGUACGUAAUAUGCUACUACUUUAUAUGCGCUUAUUUCUGGGAUUCCAGACGAUGUGCUUCAGUAAAAAUUGUCUAACAUUUGGCCAACACUUACUGUUUCAAUGCAAUACUUUAUUUCAAUUUACUUUCUGGUGUAGAUCUCACAUAAAAUAUUAAAUAAUAUUAUUAAUGAUCAUUAGCUCCCAUUAUUUGAUGUUAAAAUUUUUGAAAUAGUGUUUUUUGGAGAAUAUGUGAUUGAAAAAGAAGGAAAAAUUUUUAGUUUUACAAAGAUCGUCCAAGUUAACGCGAUAUUUCAAAUUUAGUUCAAGUAUUUUUGCACUUUCUCAAUUCUUAAUUAGCAGUUAGUCGAGAUUGCAUAAAGUCAAAUUUAAAGUUAUUAAAUUCACUCAUUUGAACUUUUUUUAUGACCAAAAAGUUUCGAUUUCCAUAUUCAAGUAGGAUUAAUCAAUAUCCUUGAGCACGAUUACCAAAAAUAUGAAGUUGAAUUACAGGAUGAAAAUUGAAGUGAGGGACCAAGAUGAACUUCCUCUAAAUAAAUCAAGGAUCUAAUUCCAUUAUAUAAUAUAAAUGUCCACUGGUUUAUAAAUUUUCAUCAUCCUUCUAAAAUAACUCAUCUGUCAUGGAUUCGUUACUUCCUUUGUCUCAGGUGCCAUAAGAUCCUCCAUCAAAUCCUUGAUCUUAUGCACCGUCACUCCUCUGUUUGUCGGACAAUUACCGACUUCAUCACCAUUGGGGCCAUACGUUUCAUCCUAGAAACCUACGAUCUUUUUUCACGCCCCCUGUCCUUGGCAUCAUCUCAUAAUCUGUCACCUCGAUGGUUAGUAGGUCAUUACCAUCGGAGCUAUCCCCUACAUAUACCCUUCAACACUGGGACCUUUUCCUCCAUAGUUGCAAAAAUGAUUCGAAUGCAAUGUCCAAUGGCCAUGAUGAAUCAUCAUACCCUAUGAGACCUUCUCUUCCAGAGCCUCCACCACCCCUCCAUCUUAAAUAUCCCUAGUCCCUCCGGUACUCGCACCGCCUAUCUCUUCGCCAUCCCCUUGUGGGCUUACUACAUUACCUCGUAUCGCUGUGACCUCAUUAGUCUCCUAAAUCGGCUCGUAUGUUCUAACAUCAUGUCAUAACUCCAUUACUUCACCUCUCAUGUCCUAUCGCAAUGCCCCUAUCAUCUAUUGUAUCACUCCUAGAUUUUCUCUGAUAACCUUAGUUAGAUUACAAACAAAUCAUCAAAAUAAUUACGCUGACUGGGUGCAAGAGAUUCAUGGGUAAAAUCUCCAAAUAUGGGAAAAGGAGAUCUCCUCUGUGACGGUGAUUUUAUUGACAAAAUUGAUCUCCUCGGUGAAGGUGAUGGUUGAUCCACUGGACGGUGUUCCAAUUAUAGUAUUAAAUGAUGUGUUAAUGAAAUGUAGAAUUAAAUUACUUAUUUCAUUUAACCUAUUAUUUAAUAUCACAUGAGCGCCACGUAAAAUCGGGUCAUAGUUUCAGUAGGACUAAAUAGCAUUACUUUUUCAUAGGUCUCUCUCAAGAUCACUAUGGAUCUCAAUUGAACUAUUUAUUUCGAUGAUGUGGAACUUUUACUUAAAAAUUACCUUUCAACAACUUCACGAACAUAGUCAACUACAAUCAGGCUGAAUGAAGACUUGCAUCCACAUCUCUACCUUGAUUUUGCAGAUUGGAUCCAUUAAAAAAGAAAAAUAUAACCAUAUGAUCUAAUGUUUUGUCCGUGAAAAUAUUUGAAUCUUGUUCUACUAUCUUGGGAUUUUACAUAUGUUGAGAAAAAUAAGUUUAUUAAUUUUGUUGAUUGGACUGGUGUAGGUGGGUUAACACCUGUGCACCAACACAAGAUGGAUGAUUUGAAUGGCGAGGUGCGUAUGCCGCAAUCUAGCCAUGAGAGGAACCCGAUCGAGGUCUGUUUUGACCAUUCCGAUGUGGAUUUCGCCUACAAGGUAUGGUACAAUUAUUUCCACCUUUUUAAGAAAUAAACAUAACUUCCUUCUGAAGAUUUUUUUACUAAUUAGGCACAAUGUGAUGUUUUUAUAUUGUUAUUUGUGGGUGGAUCAGAAUGCUGUAGAGAACAGUGCCGUGCUAGUUAGUGAGCCCGAGGAGAAGGAAUGGGGACAAAAGCUAAUGUACGUUCAAGAUAUUGACGGGAUUGUGGUGAGGAUGGGGAGCUUAAUUUUUUAAUUCUAUUACAGGAGUUUAAUUUUUUCUUCCGUCGCAUUUAUGUUCCUAUCAUUUCUUUAUCGCUCAUCUUCAAAUUUUCAUUAAUUAACAUAUUUUAUCCCUUUUAAUGGUUUACGCUCAGAUAUUCUAUUAGCUUGGUUUGAAAUGGGAGACAAUUUUUAUGUUGUACUUUAUAUUGGUUGUUUUAUAGUUAGAUAUAAAAAUGAAAUACGAAGGGCUGACAUGAAGGGUUGAUGUGAGAUACCAUAUUGCUAAGUAUUUUAUAAAUUAUCUAAACAUAAACUUAUUUGGUUUGGUAAAAAUUAAAAUUUAAUUAACUUUUACUAUAAGUUUUGAGGGAUACACAAGUUUUCAACCAUAUAUUUCAUCAAGUUUUAUUAAAAAUUUUGAUUUUAAUCUCUACCAAAAGAGUAAGAAUUUGCGAAAUUCGGAAAAGAAAAAAAGUAGAAGAAACCAAUUGGGACAAAGACUAGAUUGGAUUCUGCAAAAGCUUUUGUUCGUUGUAGAAAGAAGAUUAACAGGCUAUUUGUUGCACAUUUUAUCAAAAAUGAGAAUGAGAAUUCUUACCGUUGGACACAUUUCUCAUAGCAAAAUGUGAGAUGAGAGUCAAAGCAUUUACGGCAAAUGAGCCCUAGAAAUGGCUAUAUUUUUUCUAAAAUUGAGGAAAAAUGUGCAACAAACAAGCUCUAAACCAACAAGGGGAUGAUGAUCACCCCCACGCGCAUUUUUGCAGUACGUAAUAUGCUACUACUUUAUAUGCGCUUAUUUCUGGGAUUCCAGACGAUGUGCUUCAGUAAAAAUUGUCUAACAUUUGGCCAACACUUACUGUUUCAAUGCAAUACUUUAUUUCAAUUUACUUUCUGGUGUAGAUCUCACAUAAAAUAUUAAAUAAUAUUAUUAAUGAUCAUUAGCUCCCAUUAUUUGAUGUUAAAAUUUUUGAAAUAGUGUUUUUUUGGAGAAUAUGUGAUUGAAAAAGAAGGAAAAAAUUUUAGUUUUACAAAGAUCGUCCAAGUUAACGCGAUAUUUCAAAUUUAGUUCAAGUAUUUUUGCACUUUCUCAAUUCUUAGUUAGCAGUUAGUCGAGAUUGCAUAAAGUCAAAUUUAAAGUUAUUAAAUUCACUCAUUUGAACUUUUUUUAUGACCAAAAAGUUUCGAUUUCCAUAUUCAAGUAGGAUUAAUCAAUAUCCUUGAGCACGAUUACCAAAAAUAUGAAGUUGAAUUACAGGAUGAAAAUUGAAGUGAGGGACCAAGAUGAACUUCCUCUAAAUAAAUCAAGGAUCUAAUUCCAUUAUAUAAUAUAAAUGUCCACUGGUUUAUAAAUUUUCAUCAUCCUUCUAAAAUAACUGUACAUCCCUCGCGCUAAUCUCAGGCAACUCCAUAUAUCUCUCUCUAACUUUGCGUCCGAACUAAUUUUUCAGGUAUAUCUAUAGUCUCUAAAUACGUAUUAUUCGAUAUGCUUUACCUAGAGGUAAUUUUUUUUAUUUAAUAUUUCUGUCCAUAUAUUUUUAAUAUAUAUACUUAGAGUUGGAAAUGUUUGUAUAAUGAAAGCAGCUUUUAACAAUAUGAUUUAAAUUUGUGGAACAAGGAUACGAGUAAUUGAGUAUUGCUACAUUUUUUUCUUUUCUUUUUUUCUUUUUUUAUGAUCUGAUCUCAAGAUUCAACGUUCAAACCUUUUCGAUCUAGUGGAAAAUUUCUUUUAUUUGAUGUAAUUGUCUACCUGCUUGAUUAAAAACAAUAUUUUUGAGAAUGGAGAAUUGGAUUAUUAUUAUUAUUAUUUUAUGAACUAAAGUACUAAAUUGAAAUAUGUUUUUAAGAUAAUGUAAAUUAGGGAGUCGAAGUAAAGUGACUAGAUAAUAUUUGAAAAAAGGGUUACUGGGGUCUUGGUGACAAAGAAAAAUUGAUUUAGACAAUGAAGAUUGGACAUUUAAAGUACUAAAUUUUUAAUGACACAACAAAAGCUAUCGAGAGAAAGAUGAAAUAAUUCGACAAGCACUGAUUGGAAGAAAAAAAAAAGUUAGAACUCAGUAAUAUUACAAACUAUCCAACUCACAGAAAGUAACCCACCUAAUGCAUGUAUAAACGAGGAAAAAGAAAAAGGGCACAAUAAUAAGAGAUACAAUUAUAAAAAGGUAAUAAUAAAAAAAUGUAAAGUUGGAAGAUGCAUAUAGUCCCUGUACCAAGGUAAUUGGUGAGGAAUCGGCCAUCGUUGCACAGGUUUUUAGGGAAAGGUGGUAUGAUAUGAUUCCUUUCGAGAGUUUGCUAAAGACUUCGUAGCAUUCCCUGUAUCACAAUUGAUUUAAACAGUAUAAAAACCAAAGAAGAUGGAAGUAUGCCCAAAUCAAUCGAUCAAAUACUUGUUGAUUCCAAAAAAUAUCGAUUUGGGAUCCAAAAGAACUGGACAAAUCCAAACUCUUUACAAUGACUCACAUUUUCUUCAUUUAAACACAUUUUCAGGAGGUUCAAAGGGAAAUGUCAACAAAAUGAACGACAUCACAAUUCUCAAACUAAAUUAAAAGGCAUAAUUCAUAAAUAAACUAGAAGAUAACGUUUGAACCCGUGAAUAAUUGAAUGUACCAAGUUCUGAUAACUCGUGGCUGCUUCACAAAUUCAUAAAUAUAGUUGGCAUCUUAAAUCAAGAAAAGAUGAAAUAGCGUUAAAAGUCUUUCGACGUUUCUUUUUAUUCCAUGCACAAUAAACGAGUCACAAAGCCUUAGUAAAUCGAAGGAAAGAGACAGAGUUGUAGUAUACCAGCAAAACUCAUGCUUUGUAGCCUCUGUUUACCCUAUUGAAUCUCGAGUGAUGACUACUUUAAGCUCUUCAUUUCCCAUAUCUUCUCUUUGUUCUUUCAGAAUAUCCAUAGCAGAGUUUGCGAUAGAUUCUGAGCUCCGAUGUACCUUAAUCAUCUGUAAGGUCGAAAUAUAACCUAAACUGGAAGGGAUCUUAUUCAAACAGUAGCAAUUUCGCAACACUAAUCGUUCUAGUUUGGGGUAAUCAUCACUUGUGGGAUUCCAUUCUGCACAGGCAUACUGGCUUGCAAUUCUCACACUACUUAGCUCGAAGAAUUUGAGUUUUUGGAAUUCACCUUCUUCUGUGUCCCAUUGCUUUUCCUUGAAGAAACCACUACGUAAUUUGAGAAUCUCUAAGUUCGGCAAUCUUCCAAUCAUCCGAAUUUUUUCCCACGACAAAUCAAUAUACAAUAGGGUCAAUUUUUUGAGAUUCAAGGGAAAAUCAGGACCUGAAUCUCUCAUAAAACUGAUGUUGAGAGAUUCGAGUUGAUCGAGGAAUUGGAAAGGACAUUGAGACACAAACUUGCAUUUCAAUUUGCGGAGAUUGGGAGCACAUCCCAAAACUUUUGCAUCCAUUUUAUUACAAAUCAAAAGUAGAGAAAUAGAUUGGAGGUUAUUUAUUUGGAAGCUCCCAUCCGUAGUUGCUCUUAAAUGAGAAGAUUCACUGAAGCGUGCACCACCUCCAAAAUGCAGACGUUUCAAAUGCUUCAUGUUAAGAACAAAAUCAGGUAUUUCAACUUCAUCUCUGUUCUUCACGUGA
rnacentral:lncRNA from 1 species